UUGUUGUUGCUUUUCUUGGAUUUAACUUGUUCCUUCAUUCAACUAUUUCCUUCUUCCACUCAAUCUACCAUUUGUAUCAGGUAUCAUUGGCUUGUUUCUCAUGAGCUUUUGAUUUGUUGUAGCUACCACUUCUUGAAGAACCCUUUCCUUUUCUUAAGUACUUCUUGAAAUCUUUGGUGACCAUGACCAUUUCAUGAUUUUCCAAAUCAGAACCUUCAAAGAUCUGAGAUCCAAACUUCUUUCCUUCUUAGAUACAUACAUCUUCAUGGUCUAUCUCCUAAGUUCAUAGGAAGUAAUAUUCUCAAUUAAUUAAUCCAGCGGGAGAGUGGAAAUAUUCUUUGAUUCCUAGAUGGCAGUGAUUUACUCUCCCAUGUGAUAGGUAAAACUCUAGUCAAUAUAUUUUAAACUCUUUCUUCUUCAGGAAUAAUCCUUCCAAGAUAUUUCGGUUCAUUUUUUAGUGUAGUGUACUUGCUGUACAUAUCUUGAAUGUUUUCUCCUUCUUUCAUUGCAGAACUCUCAUAUUGAGAGUACAACAUAGUUCCUAUAGAUCUCUUCACCUUAGGUAUUCCUUCAUGAGCCACUUGUAGUGUGUCCCAUAUUUUCUUAGCAGUGGUACAACCUUGGAUUCCAUUGUACUCAUCUGGACCAAAUGCACGAACAAGCCAUUUCUUGGGUUUAAAAUUCUUCUCCCACUUUUUUAAGUCUUCAGCAGUGCAAUCAGCUCUUGUUUUUGGCACAUCUACUCCUUCAUCAUUUUUCUUCAAGGUAGAAAAUGGACCAUCAGUGAUAAUGUCCCACAGCUCGUAGUUCUCUCCUAUAAUGAGAUCUCUUAUCCCUUUUUUAUACCAAGAAUAGUACUGGCUCGUAUAAGCCUCUUCAAGGAUAACCCGCUUUGAUACCAUUUGAUUAUAUAUACUUUAAUGCCACACAAGAGGUGGGUGAUUUGUGUGGUGUCCAAUUUUCACGUGCACAGAUUAUAGAAUGACCCGAUUCUUUUAUGUAUUCCUUAAACUACUAUUGCGGAAAUAUUAAAUGCAAAAAGUAAAGAACACAAGUAUUUUUACGUGAAAAACACCCGACUCAAAAGGUGAAAAAAUACGACCUACUAUUCAGUAGGAUUUUCCCCAACACUUUACUAAAACACUGAGCCAAAACAAUAUUUAUAAAGCUCUUUGUAAUCUUAAGGACUACCUCUAAUCCCAUUGUAGCAACCAACCUCUAACGGUUGCAACAACUUUAUGUUAACUCUAACUUGAAUACUCAGAGUAACUAUUACAAUUGCUUAUAGAUAAAGUUGAAGGUACAAUUUCAAAACACCUAUUACAAUUGAAUUAAAAUAAAAGACAGACACUUGGAACUAGUUCUUCUAUCUGGUUCAUGUAGCUUCAAGUUCACACACUUCAAUCACACAAGUAUUGCUUGCAAAAGACCUUGCCAUUUUUCUCUUAACUCAAGUUUAACUUCAGCUUUUGUGCAUACCUGUAAAGUGAGAAUAUUGUUGCACCCCCUUUUUCCUCUGUGGAAUUGGGUUUGUGACAUUUGGAGGGACAACUUGUUCCUUUUGAGAACUGGGUUUGCAUUUGAAGAGUCGACACCUAAUGAUUAAGGUGCAUUAGGACAUCAAUAGGGUUCAAUUAUAAGUUCCAUUUGAAUAACCAGAGAUAGGGUAAGGGCUUGAAAUUAUCCCAAGGGGAAGGUGUGAGGCACCCCUCAGGAUCCACUAGUGUGGUUCCCAGCCAGACAGUUAUUGUGAAUUUAGCAGUUAGGCAUGUAUUAGUUCAAACAUUAUGAGGCUUUAAACACAUAAAAGAAAGAACAUUUGAAAGAAGAGUUUAAAAAAAAAAGAAAGAGUUUGCAACUAAAAUGAGAGGGGUCCUAUGUUUAUAUUUAAUAUGUAUCACCUCACACAAUGUCCGAUAAUCAAUUCUCAAUGAGGGGCUACACGUGUCAUUAUCGCGUGGUCAUCAUAUCCAUAUCUACGCUUUCCACCCUGUUAAGGUAUUAAAGCAUGGAUUGGUCUUGAUUACUUAUUGCAUGCUAUUACCCAUCCCAUUCCUAUCAGUCCCGGAGGCAUUUAGGACUAUUAAUCCUAAAGGGAGGGAUAUUAGGCUUAUUUGAAGUUUCAAAGGUAAAAAUCUAAGGCGAUAUACGAAAUAUAUAAAGACUUCAUAAAAAAGGGGAACCCAUAAACACAUAAGGUUCAAGUAUACCUCCUUAAAGAAAAACAAUCCAAUAGCAUGACUUAAACAAAUAAGUUAGGUCUGAGUCUAAAAAAAAAACUUGAGGGAAGAGGAAAUAGUUGUAUUGCAGCAGGCCCGACUUAUUACAUGAGUCAGCUAGGAGAUAGAAUCGGUCCUACCUACUGAUUGUAACACUAAAACAAAUAACAUAGGUGAGUCGAGUUUUGUUAUAUAGCCUAAGGCUUGCAUAUGUGUUCAAUCAAGGUCCUCUUGGCAUAAUAUCUACCUAAUUCAGAAUGAUGAAAUAACAAAACUCAACACGAAUUGUUCGAAAUCCUAUAGGCAUGCUUGCUAAACCUCGUUAAGUAAGGGAAAUAGAUUAUUAAAAAAGAUUCAGAAUGGACAAAAUUAAAUUAGACCGGUUACAGAUUCUUCAUGUGAUAGUAUCUAGUAAAUCUGAUUUUAAUCCUAGGUGCAUGAUAUCUAACAUUGACUGUGAACAAUCCGAAUCAGAUUUAUCUAAGAAUCCCUAUAGGCAUGAUUUGUAUGCGUUACUGAUUUUAACACGUUACUGGAUUAUAACCACUUGGGCCCUAAAACAUGAUAUCUAAACGUGUAGAAUUUUUAGAUAAUCCCUAUAGACAGGGUAUUUGGAAGCAAAGUUAAACAUGUAGAAUAAAUCUCUACAGCCAUAAUGUCUAAGGUGGAGAAUUAAAAUACCCUAUAGGCAUUGUUUCUAAAUGCAGUUUGAAUAUGCAGGAAUUUAAAAUAGUCAUAUAGGCAUGUUUUCUACCCUUGACAUGCAUAAAUACCCAACCCUUUUUUACUAGCCAGCCCAAAAUGUUUACUAAUUAUUACAAAUCAGGAAUAAUAAAUCAAUCAAAAUGCGUAAAAAUACAACUAGAGGAGGUCUGAUUCAUGGUUCCUCCCUGAGCGAUGGAAUAAACUGCCUUAAGAUACCAUUGUUUCAAAGCUUUUCACAAACUUGAGUGUGUCAGAGUUCCCUAAGGGCCUCAAUAGGACCCUGGGCAGUCUCACACUCAAAUUGCAUCAACAGAAUAGGGACACGUGCAGUAUAUAAAUACUAGCUCUCAUGUGUUCAAGUUAAGAGAGAGCUCAAGGAUCCAAAGGCAAGGCUCACAUUACGGGGGCAGAGCUUAAAUCUAAGAGGAGAGUGAAAGUGCAGAAACUAGGCAUAAAAAGCUGAGGGGACAAAGGAGAGGGAAAGGGUAAUGGGAAACAACCAUUAACACUUCAAGGAGUUGAUAAUUUCACACUAAGGGGCAGGGAUUCGGAAUACAUUGCAAGGAGCCUAUAUACUUAUACAUGGGUUAAUUCUGGGCAUGCACAUCAAUUGGGAGCUUUGUCAUUCUUGAAAAAAAAUCAACUAGAACACACAACAUAUAUGGGUAACAUGGAGGUUAUGAUCCUAGGGGGACCACGUUUGAGUCAUGUUCAGCAAUAUUUGAUGAUGUCAUGCCCCAAACAAAGCAUAAGCAUUAAAACACAUUGGGGUAGGGAUUUAUGAUUCAUACUACAUUGAUUAAGAAAUUACAGCAUGCUAAAUGAAGGUACUGAAUCAGAUACAAGAAGUAGAUAGACAAGAAUGCCAGAAUAUCAAGUAACCAUAUUGUUGUUGAUGUUGAAAGCUUAAUUAGAACAUACAAUUAAAGAAGCAAGAUGCAGUAAAGAAAAGUAGCAGGAAAUUAAUAUAUAUCCUUGGCUUUUAGCCAACUAAACAUGCCACAGUGCAAGUAGUAGAGCAAGAGAGUGUUUGAGUAUAAAUGUGAGUUCAGAACUAAAAGUGUCCGUCUCUUGUUUGUGAAAUACUUAGGGUACUUAUAGUUAAAAGUAGGUAGUGAAAUAAGGUAAAAAUCAUAGUAGUAUAUUAAUUUAGAACUCAGAGUCAAUCAUUAGAGAAUCAAGGAAGUACAUCCUUAAGUUAAGGGAAUCAGAUCAAACAUAAAGAUUCAAUUCCAUAUAAAACAAGGAAAAAAAAUCAAUACAUGAUUAAAUAAGGAAGGAGUCGAGGUUUAGUAGGCAUAGAGUAGUCAAUUAGGACCAAAUUCAGAAAAAACCCAAUUAAGGAAAAGCUCAGGAAUACAAGGUACCAUAGCAUAUAAGGAAAUGAAAUCAGUUAAUUUAAACAUACGAGUAGAAUUCUAGGGCUUUGAAAGAAAAUCUUUCAAUUACCAACAAUUAAGGAAAAUCAGAAUCAAUCAUGGGAAGUCAUGGUUCUAUAUUUUCAACAGAUAAAUAGAGGUAAAUAAACAAGAGUAGUACACAAAGUCAGCCUUAUAGACAGAAAGAAAUAAGAGAUGAGCAAAUACAGUCAUUCAGAGGUGGUAUAAGUAGGCUAAGAUUCAGCAGAACAUAUUCGAGGCAUAUUUUCAACAUAUAAAUAGAGAUGAAUGAACAAGAGUAAUAAACAGUCAUACAUAUAGACAGAAAGAAAUAAGAGAUGAGCAAACACAAUCAUUUGGAGGUGGUAUAUGUAGGCUAAGGUUCAGUAGAACAUAUUUGAAGCUGGUGACCACAAGACAUUAACAAGAAUUAGGUAAACAUGCUAGCACACAAAUCCAUGGCACAGAAAAAAAUUUUAACACACAGAACCAAGGUAAAUAAAAUUAGGCUAUCACACAUAACCAAAGCGAAAUGCCAAUACACAGAACCAAGGCAAACAAAAGCAAGCCAACACACAUAACAAAAGCGAAGAAAAUAAUUAGAAAUUAGGUCUUUUAGUAUAGUCAGGCUAAAAAGCAGUAGGAGCAUAAAUCAGUUAAAAUAAAUAAGGAAAAAGUUUAAUCAUUAAGAAAUCAGUUAGAACAUGCGUAAAAGAACUACGAGAAACCCUAGUUUUCUAAAGAAAGUAAAAACGGUUCAAAGUAGAUGAUCUUUCAGAAGAAGCUUGAGAAUAAGCAGAUCAUAGAAGAAAACAUGCUUAUAACAUGAAAAUAAUGCCAUUCUGAGAGAUUUAGGAAAGAGUCAGGGUUUCAAGAGGAAACCCAAAUAGAAGUUGAAAGAAGCUGUUGUAACUUCACAAAUCGUAACACAUAUGGUGUGAUUUUUCCAAAAUCACACCAAAGAAGCCUCGAACAACAGAACCAAAAAACCUAGGUCCAAAUUGACAUAGCCCAUUACCCUUGAGGUCUUUAGGGAUGCUGAGCAAGGCGAUGAGAGACCCAUUGGAGGCUUGGAGUUGAGAGGAGGUAGCCAGAGAUGGACGGAGAAGGAGGUGAUUGACGGAAUCUACGGUUAGGUUUGAGAGAGGAGAGAAGAUGAGAGCAUAUGAAGGUGGCGUCUUUGGAAAAUGGCGUAGGGUUGGGGGGGGGGGGGGGGGGGCCGUAUGAAUUAAAAUUGUAAGAACAAAUUCUAGCUGUUGAUCUUUUAGAUCAACGUCCUGAUCUGGUGGGUUUUUUGGGUCGGGCAAAUGUGUAUAGGGUCUGGGUCGGAUGAUAGGGUUAUAAGAAUAAAGAUUAGGCUGGGAAUUGGUUCGAUUUUGUCCACAAUUGAAAGUCAAAUUUGGCUAUAACUUAAAUAGCCAAUUUUCCCCAAUUUAAUUUAUAAAAAUAAUAAUUAAUUUCUGGGAAUAAAUUAAAGGUACCAAAAUAAUUUAUAACACAUAAUGAACUAUUUAUAAAUAGCAGACCUAAUUUUUAUGACUAUAAACAUAAUAAAAUCCUGAAAGAGGCUAAUAUUGUAACUACAUUCAAUUUAACCUUAAAAUACUAAAUGAAUUUGUAAAAAUAUACAAAAAUUAUAUUAGCCACAUUUUAGUAUAAAUAUGAAAAUCUAGUAAAUGACCAAAAAUAAUAAUUUUGGGAAUAAUCAUUGGGUAUUUAUGGAUAAAACAGGGCAAAAAUUAAUUUAAAAAUCUUUAAAAAAUUAAUCAAAUAGAAAAACAUUUGGACAUACUUAUAUAUUAAUACACAUACUAUUUUGAAAGUAUUUUGCAUAUUCAAAAUAUAUAGAAAAAAUUGGGUAUCAACAAAUGUCCCUCUUUACUCGGGAAGGAUGAAAGAGUUGCCAGGUAAAGAUAUGAUGACCAAUUUUGAUCGAACAAAAUGGUGCGAGGAGACUUAGGCCAUGCCCUAGCUUCCGAGCUACCUGCAUAUCCCUGGUUUUACAGGAAUCAUACCAUAUGUAGUUCAGGAUCCGUAGGCGGAGUAUGCCGAUGGAGACUUUUCAAGGAACGACGCAAUCUUUUGAGCUAAAUGGUUGUUGCUUGCCGGUUUACCUGCAAAUCAGCCAUACAAGUAUAUGUGUUGAUGCCAAAUCUUUCCUCAUCUAUUUUUUAGACGAAAAAUACUUUCAGAUACUAUAUAUAUGCAUAUCUAAGUAUGUCUAAGCCUUUUAGUAUUUUUUCCAAUUUUUUGUUUUAAAAAUUAAAUCAAUUUAUUGUCCAUUUUAGCAGUAUAAAAAUUAAUUAUUUUCAAAAUUAUCAUCGUGGUAAAUAAAUUAUUUUAUUCUCAUAUUUAUACAAAAAUAUAGCUAGAGUAAUUUUUAUACAUUUUUAUAAAUUUUUUUAGUAUUUUAAAAGUCAAAUUGCAUAUAAUUGUAAUUUGAGCCUUUUUGAGAAUUAAUAACAUUUUAUAAUUGUGAAAUUCGUUCUAAAAAUUUUAAAUUGGCAUUACAUAUUAUUAACUAUCCAAUACAUUUAAUCUUCUUUCAAAAUCAUGUUUACUAUUUUUGUAAAAUAAAAAAUGGAAAACUGGCUAUUUAAAAUUUGGCCUCAUUUCGUUUUAAAUACAUCCCCAUUACAUUUCGAUUAUAGGCACAUUGAACCCCCUCCCCCAACUGACCUAAUUUUGAAUCCCAACCAGACUAUCCCAAUCCCAUACCUUCAACCCAUUUUAAUUACCUGACCCAAGCCAUUUUGAUAUGGACUGUUGAUCUCUGAGAUCAUCGACUCCUAUCCACUCUUCCAUAAUUAAGUCUAAAUGACUACCCUAAUCCCUUCAUUCUCUUCUCUCAACCUCCCCAAACACUCUCCUCUCUCAAACUCUCUCGAAGGUUCUUGAAACAUUAAUCGACUUCUACUAUUUUGAACAACAAACUCACUAGAAUUCAUGGCCUCUCAGGCCAUGAAUGGCCUAUACCAAUAAUUUAUUUUCGAGGUCUGACCUCGAUGGUGUCCAUUCAGAUUUUCUCCGAUUCAAGGUUCCAUGGCCUCUAUGGCUUUUCUCCGGUGUAUCCAAAGCAUUUUGAGUCUAGUUUUGACUUAUUCGACAUUGAUCGCACCUUUUCCAAGCCUUUCUUGCUUAUGAAACCCUAGUUAUCCGAGGUAUUCUCUGUUUUUUUUCUCAGAUCGAUUUUAUAUCCGUGCUCUACUUGAGUUUUCAAAUAUUUUCCCCAGUUUUCUUUCAAAACUUACUUCUCUCCGAGUUAGGGUUUCUGAAAAAACUAAAAAUGUUUUCUCCGGCUGUUCUUCUCCUAUUUCUUUGUGUAUAUUUGUGAACUUCUGUGUUUACGACUCGGAACUUUUCUAUGCCAGACUCUUCUACUGAUUGGUACAAUAGUUCUUUGCGCUUGAGCAUGGCUGUAUGUUUUAUAUGUGUAACGAAUUCAUUCUUUAAAAAGGAUUUUCAAACUUAUGAUUGAUUCAAAAUCCUUUUCUUUUCACCCGUUUAGGCUCUCGCUCGAAUCGGAACCUUUAUGCAUUGGUAGGCUUUCGACUCAAUCUAAUAGCCUACCAAUUGAGUGCCAAUAAAAGAGAAAGUAUUUGCAUAGGCUCAUCAUCUGAUGGAGAACCGAUGCGAGAGGGAGCAGCGUGGAUUGAUAGCUUUAGAACCAGUGGAAACCUGAAGGAGAAAUUCUACCGCACUCCAUCACCUUAUUGAAACCUUGUUCCAAUAAUCUCGUAGUACCAAGCCCUCAUACUUGACUUGAGAUGGAUGUGGAUUUGAAAGAGUUACAACUCUAAUGGAGAUUUUAAAUUGGUGAUCAAUGAACUCCUUGGUAAUUAUUCAGUUAAAACGCCUGACCUGAAUUGAUUCCAUACUAUAAUUACGCAAACAAAAAGGCUUAUUGGGUGGCUUCGUGAUGUGACCAUAGAGCAUGUCCCAAGAAAGAAAUAGAUAAGUAGAUGCCCUUGCAAGAUACUCAAGAUAUUGUUACUUAUUAUUCUUUAAGUAAAACCAUUCUCUACCUUUUCUGACUGGAUUCAUCCAUACCAAAUUCAAACCUUGGUAUUUACAGGCUAUUUAAUUGAUUUCCUUUCCUUAUAUGCAGAAAACGAAUACUGCCAAGACUUUUCCUUAGAUAUACCUCUAUGUAUUUACCCCUCUUGUACUUCUUUGAAAAAAAAAUUUCUUGGUCUCUUUCCUUAAUUACUUUUACCCAUUUUAAAUCAGAAUCCCUUAUUAAAGGGAGACCUAGUAAAAUUGAUUUCAAAACUUUUCUCCUAUCCAUUUCUGCUUGCUUUCUACACUAUAAAUACAUGACAUCCUUUAACACAUUUUUCACAGUUAAUACGACAACCUUUCAAUCACACACUAUCCAAUCAACACUUUUACGUUACUCAAGUAUCAUAGUUCUCUGAUCAUAUCAUUCUGGCUAUUUGUUUGCACUUUGGGUUCAUAAGACUAAUGCUUUCUUAGUUUGUUUCCCUGAAACAUGUAUGUUCUAGUUUAGUUUUCUGCCUCAUCCCAAUGUGUUUAUUUUACAGCUUCCCUGAUCCUGUCUACUUUGUUAUCUGUGCUUAGUAUUAAAUGUGUAUGUUAUUCUCUUUGCACUAGUUUCUGCUGUGAAUCCCUGUACCCCUAUUCCCCUUUUUGUGUUUGAGUUAAAUUUCAGAACACGACAACAUCCAAAUUGUUGAUCAUGUCUGAACUUGAUCCUUAAUGGGGUCCUAACUCUCAAACAAUGUGGUUAAUAGGCUGUUUGGGGUGUGCCAGCACCUCCAAUUGAUGGGUAUGACCACCAGCCUGUCUUGGCUUUCCCUAGAAUCCCCGUUAUUGCACUCACACUCUCCCUUAGCUUCUAAGUUAUGUCCCCCUCCUAUGAUCCUUGCUUUGGGACCUCGAGUUCCCUUUGGAUUAAGACAUUUAAGGGCUGGCCCUCCACACUGCACUAUAAAUUAAUUCUAUAAUGAAUUUGGGUGUAAGCACUGCCUGGAGUCCAUGAGGCUCUUGGAAACUCUGACACACCCAAAUAUGAGAAAGGAUUUGAAAAUUCGAUAUUUGGAGUUGGUCUACUUCAUGCUUUCGACAGAAGACUGAAUCAGGCUCUCCUUGGUUGGGAAUUUUAAUUUUCUGAUGUUAUUUAUUUAUUUUCCUUAUUAAAUUAUGGGUUGUAAUAAUCUUGUAAUAACUCUUGGGGGUUUUAGUGAAAAGGGGAGGGUACAUCAUGCAUGAAAGGGGUAGAUGUCAUGUUCAUAGGAAUUUAAUAUGUUUCAGCCAUUCCGUCCUGAUUUUAGUUUUGCAUUUUUCAUAUAGAGAUCAUGUUUAUAGGUUAUAUAUUUCAUAUAAAAACCAUGUCCAUAAGUUCUGGAUUUUUGUAUAGAAAGAAUGCCUCUAAGUUUUAGCACUUUUGUAUUAUCUAGAAAACAUAUUCAUAGGUUCUGUACUUCAUAUAGAAAUCCUAUUUAUAGGUUUUAUAUUCUCAUACAGAAACCAUGUCGAUAAGUUUCUACACUUCUGCAUUUAUUAAACCAUGCUUAUAACUUCCUGCAUUACAUAUAGAAACCAUGUCUGUAGGUUUUCCAUAUUUCUGCAUACCACAUAGAUAGCAUGGCAAUAGGACUUCCUGAAUUCUUCAUAUGCAUCUAUCACUAGGCAAACCUAAUUAUAGGUUUGAAUAAGAAAUAGCAUUCUAGACACCAGGCCUAUAGGAUUUCUGUACUUUUAUUUCGACUGCAAACGUUUUAAAUCAUUUAGCACCUAUAAAGCAUGCCUAUAGGAGCUAUCAACUAAAUCUAAAUAGUUUAUUUUGUCUAAGUCUAAAAUCAGUAAAUAGCAUUGUUUAAUAUCUACGAAGCUUAUGCUUCUUUCUAACUAACAUGCCUUCUUCUUUUAAAACUAGUACGCUUUUACAAUGUUAGAUAUCAUGCCUAUAGGUUUCGCCUAGGAAAGCCAUAUGGUGAAUUAGUAAUGGAAUCAUAAUUUGUUAAAAUUCCAACAAACAGGCAGGUCGUACUCGGGUUUCCUAUCUAAAAAAUGUAAUAAAUCACUCUGCCUCCUGUUUCCUUUAUGUUUAAUUAAGACCAUAACUAGUAUGUGUAAGACAUGUUGAACAAUCUUUCUUUAAGUUAAGAAGGCCUGUUUGAGCCUUUAAUUGUUAUGUGUUUCCCCAUACUUGCUCUACAUGUUUUGAUUGUCGCCUUAGAGUUUUAUCCUUUUAAACCACGAAUGCCAAAUCUCCCUUCCCAUUAAGACUAGUAUUCCCAAAUGCCUUCGGGGCUGAUAGGAUUUGGGACGGGUAGUAGCAUGCAAUAGGAAAACGAGACCAUAUUUGUAUUUAAUACCUUAACGGGGUGGGGAAGGGUAGAUAGAUAUAAUGACCAUGCGAUAACACCAUGUGUCAGUUACCGAGUGUUGUGUGGUGAUCCAUAUUAUUUAUAAACCUAGGACCCCCUUCACCUUACUUGUUUAUUUUCAGAAUUUAAAAGAAAUGCUCAACUUUCAGCUUAUUUAAUUUCUUUUACUUAAAUUUCUUGCAACAUUUAUGUAUAAAACCCCUUCCUUUUACUUGUUUAUUUUAAGAGCAUCAAAACUACUUUCUUCCCAAAAUUCAGCUUCUUUAACUUCUUUGCUUGCGACAAGUAUAUGAAAACUACCUUGUAUUUUGUAAUUCAUGCAUGUUUACUUGUCAUUUGCACUUGAAGUCACAAUUAUUGCAUGUCCAGGAACCACACUAAUAGAUCCUGAGGGGUGCCUAACACCUUCCCCUCGAGAAAAUUUAAAGCCAUUACCCAUUCUCUGGUUUUCUAAAUCAAUAUUCGUCUUAAUGUCCUAAUGCACUUAAUCAUUAGGAGGCGAAUCUUCAAUUCUAACCCAAUUCUUAAAGGGAAAAGAGUUGUCCGCCCAAAUCUCAUAAUCCCGAUUCACGAGAAAAAGGGGGGCAUCGACAGCUUGGCGACUCUGCUGGAGAUUUCUUUAAGGCUUUUACCAUUUCAUGCUAUUUGUGACUUUAGGCUUAUUUGUAUAUCUUUGUUUGUUUAAAUGCCUUUAAGUAAUUUUCCUCUUUUACCUCGAAACUGACUUGACUCUUUGUUUCUUUUCCUUAUUUUUCUUAAUGCUUUCCUUUAUCGCUUUCCUUUAAUAUUGUUGUAAACUAUGAGAAACUGUUGUAAUUAUUACUUUAUGAAUGUGCAAAUACGUGACAAUUUGUUAAUUAUUGUAAUUGUAUAUUCAACAUCAUAUUCAUCUUGUGCCAAACAAACUACCAUAGCAGCACAUAUAAUGAGUGAUUGCGCCCUUCUAAUAUUAUCACCCUAAAUCCGGCAAAGGAAUAUUUGCGGUAAAACUAGUUGAUCAACGGUGUAGUUGACGGUUCCGUGAAAAUUCCCUCUUGAGUUGUCCUCUCAAGGGUACCAGUCUAAUACCCCAUAGAAACCUUACUCUGUUUAAAGGUGCAUGCAUCACUAUCAAAACCUAGAUGAGUCAGUUAUUUUGUCCACAGAACAACUCUUUAAGAUAGCCUUGUCCAAGUCCACUGGGUUUCCUUGGAACACAAACAAACAGUACCACAUUAUGUGCAUUUAUUUGGAGAACUAAAUGCUGUUUAUGCCAAUUACUGAUGUUUAAAUAAGUCGAGCAUGGCGGGGGUAAGGGCCUAACACUUUUGUUUUGCAGAAAUAAGGCACGAAGUCUAAAUAUUCGGCAAGGUCACCAACAUCCACCAAAAAUUUCUAAAUUGGUGGGAAGAUCUUCAUUCCAAUGAUCAGACCCUCGUUCGAAAAUCCUAGCCGAGCUAGUUAUAUUGUCCGCAUAAUGACUCUUUAAUAUAGUCUUUUCCAAGUCCACUGGAUUUCCUUGAAACCCAAACAGACAUUACCACAUUUUGUGCAUUGUUUUGGACAACUAAAUGCCUUUUAUGCUCAUUUUUUAUAUUAAAAUAGUCUAGUCUGGUGGGGGUAAUGACCUAACUUUUUAUCUUGCAAAAAUAUGAGGUACGAAGUCCCUAGAUUCGGCAUGGUCACCAACAUCCACCCUAAAUUGCAAAACUGGUGGGAGGAUCUUCAUUCGAGUGAUUAGGCUCUUGUUAGAAAAUAUCUAGGGAAUCUACCUUCUCUCCUGGAAAGUCAACUCAAAAAGAUUAUGAUAGGUCUGUGUUCCGCUUUGGAGACAUUAAGAUGACAUCGCUGCUUGAGGAAGCAGGAGGACUGGCUGGAAUGUCGUAGGAAACUCCGGGUUUUUAAUGCCGAAAAACCACAAGGGUAGAGGUUUCUGAAAAUUAUCGAUCUGAAGAAGAAUCGAGACUUGACAAGUUUGAAGAGUCGUACAUUCCCUUUGACUAUUUAUACGAAAGGAAUGGUCACAACAAAUAUUACUGUACUUAUCCUGACGAGUUCGACCUUACAUCAUUGGGGCAUAUCCAUCGAAGGGUCUUUGUCUUCAUGUUCUCUUUCCUGGGGAUGAUAGUGUUUUCAAUGAAGAAUGCAAGAAUCCACACCAGGCUUGCUAUGGUCACCAAAACUCUAAUGGAAGGAAUUGACGGACAACCAUUCAGUCUCGUGCCAAUAAUCAUUGGGGAAAUAUACCUGGCCCUAGAAAAGUGUUAACAGGGAGCCAAAGAUUUCGAGGGUUGUAAUCUGCUACUUCAAAUAUGGCUCAUGGAACAUCUCCAAAAGGGUGAAUACCGACAUGAAAUCCAUUGUAGGGAUUGGGACGAUCAUAUCGCCUUUCAUCACCCGAAGCAAAUGAAUUACAUGCCCAACAUGUUCUCGCAAUCGGAAAAUGCUAGAGAAUAAGUCGAACUCUUUGAUAAUCUGACUAAUGACUAAAUGCAAUGGAUGUUCGAGUAGUUCCCUACUAAAGAAUUAAUUGUUUGAUCUAGGGGUGCACCAUUUCUAAUACUGAUCGGUUAGAGAGGAACCUACCCUUAUGUCCCUCUCCGAGUUAUGAGAUAGGCUGGUAGGAAGUAGGUUAUACCAAGGGUCGAAAUGAUGGGUCACUUUCGAGCUGACUUACAGAAUGACGAUCGUCCGUACAGGUGCAAGGCUCAACAUAUGUGGCACUGCAAAAUUGUCUUGGGAAAGGAAACCAUCGAACCAGAUUGCUUCCAUGCUGGUUGUACCCCAUACUAUUCAGGCUGGCUGGAGGAUAAUCACAACAGUGGGUCAACCUGUGUUAGUUUGAGGUCACAAAAUCAUCGAUGAAAAGGUUGAAGCACAUGUAAAGUACGACCAACUGCGCAACAUGAUGCGGGAAUGUGAAGAUGAGCACCAUAAAAUACAAGAAGCCGAUCAAAAGCUAACUGAAAAAUGGAAGGAUAUGGUUUUCAGCACCAACAAAAUACUGAUCUGCUUGAAGCGGGGUAUAGUGGAACUGGAAAACAAGUUUUUGAAGAGGGUCAAAGAUUUCCAAUUUGUUGAAGAAAAUGAAGGAGGAAUUAUGGCCAGAGCUUAGCUAUUGCUAGGACUGCGCGAGCUGGGAGAGCUGUUCGAGGGAGCUAACCCUCCCUAGUCUGGGAAAGGCCCUUCUGGGACCAAAUAGAUAAGAGUUUUUCCUCUUUUUUUUCGAGAAAUGUAAUAAGGCCUAUGGCCACUAGUGACAUUUUACUACAUAUUAUUUAGUGUCUUUGUGGGAUUCGUCUAUCUUUUCAUCAAUAAAAUGAGGCAUUUAGCAUUCUAAGUUCUCCAAAUUAACUUGUCGCUAGGCCUACCUCGGGCACAAUGAGGUCCCCAACACUAGAAUACGCUUUAAAUUUUGCUGCACUACGUGUUUAAAUAUUGCAACAUCUUUUCUUAUAAUUCUUACUGACUUAUCACCUUUUGUUUCACUUUUUGUUUAUUCCCUUCCCAAAGGUUAAUUCGUGAACUCUGGCAACAUCAACAUACUUUACAAGAUCCAGGGGCCCUCCGCCUACUCCUCCUCCUAGUCUUAUCAGGCAUAAAAGCAAAAGAAAAAUUGAAGAUUCAAACAACUCAUCUGAAUGGGUAGAGGUCACUCAUGGUGCUAUAGCCCCUAUGGAAAAUGGCUCUCAGAUAGAUCAAAAACUAUUGAAAUUCCAAGAAGAGCUUGAUCAAGUCCAGAAUUUGGCAAGUUUGACAUUUUCCCCUUACCACUCCAGAAGCUACACUCCCAAAUACUCAGAAUCCCAUACCUACACAAAACAUCCCAAAGAAACCCUCUCCUCACCACCACAGCAAUACUUGCCACUCUCCUAACAACACUCCACUGCUCAUCCCGAAACCGUUGAACUCUACAAAUGACAACUGCCAUACCUAACACAAUACCCCCAUCUACGUGGAGACCGUGCCACACUAUACCCAGCCCAUCUCAAGCACACCCGAGUCUACUGAUAAGGACUUGUUCAUCAGAAAUUUGGCCAAAGAGCUUAAUAAGUUGACCACUAGAAUUCAUGGCAUUGAUGGAAGUAAGGGAAUUGAGGGGCUAAACAAUGAAGAUCUACGCAUACAGCCCGAUGUUGAACUUCCCGAGGGGUACAAACCUCCCAAAUUCGAAAUGCUUGAUGGUACAGGGGAUCCCAGGGUUCACUUGAGGACAUACUGCGACAAGCUGGUCGGAGUAGGAAAAUAUGAGAAGAUCAGCAUGAAGAUUUUUAUGAGCCUGAAAGGAGAUGCUCUAUCCUGGUACAUUAGCCAAGGCCCAAAGAAGUGGUCGAACUAGGUAGGUAUAGCGUCCGACUUCAUGGAUAGAUUCAGGUUAAAUAUGGAAAAUGCACCAGAUGUGUUUUACAUUCAUAACUUAAAGGAGAAACCCAUAAAAACAUUCCACAAGUAUGCCACUCGUUGGAGAUCAGAUGCUGCUAAGGCCCGACUAGCUUUAGGGGAGGAACAAAUGAACAAUUUCUUUGUCUAGGCUCAGGAUCCGCAAUACUAUGAAAGACUGAUGUUGAUCGAAAACCAAACAUUCUCUCACAACAUCAAGCUAGGAGAAAUGACUAAGGAAAAUAUCAAGAAUGUAAUAGUUACAAACUUUGAAUCUUUGCAAGCCACCAACUAGGCUCUACAAUCUGGUGGUAUAUCCAAGAAGAGUGACGUAGGUGCCGUAAUGGUUGCAUAGAGAACCAAAUCACCUGUCAAAUAUCAAACUUACCCAAUACCUACACUUACAUAUCAUCCAUUACUCCAAAUUUCCAAACACCCGCACGUUCUUACCAAAACCUACCUAUCAAUUUCCUCCACCUCCCACAUACCAACCUACUUCACCCAGAUAUUCCCAGCCCGCACACGUCUAGCAAGCCUACAACACUCAACAAUCCUACUAUACAUCAUCUCUCCCUCGUCAAAACUAUCCUAGACUCUACGAAAUAUUGACUGCAGACCUCCCAAAUAGUAUACCGCCAUUUCUGAAUCAAUGGACCAACCGUAUGAAUGACUCAAAUCUGCUGGUUAUGUCACCCCUAUCCGUGCCAUAACCCCUAAAAACCCUUCCUAAUGGGUCAACCCAAAUAAAACCUGUGCAUACCAUUCUGGCAUGAAAGGGCAAACCAUUGAUGAAUGUCACUCCUGAAGGAUAAGAUCCAGGAUUUUAUUGACAACAAGAUCAUUGUGGCAAAACAGCCAGCCCUUAAUGUCCGUAAUAACUCUCUACUAGACCACAAGGUUGGAGGUGUUCAUAUGAUUGAAAUAGAGGAUGAUUUUGAUCCAAAAGGAUCAAUCGGUUUGGUCAAAGAAGGCGACGAUCCAAAGAAACCAACAGUCACCCUUAAUCCGAUUGUAGUCCAGAUUCAGCCUUCUAAAUAUGCUGAGGUGAACAUGUCCAUACAACUUGAGUUUAAACACCAGCCUCUGCAAAGAUGCCAACACUAAUUGAGGUUGAGUUAGGGUCCCCAAAGGCACCUGUACCAUUUGAUGUUGAUCUAUUACCUUCAAAAGAAAGGGUUCCCAUUCCAAUAUCAAUGACAUCCGUAAAACCAUUCCACAUAAAAACCAUACCAUGGGACAACACAGCCGAGGCAAGUAGGAAAGGGAAAGCCAAGUUCGGGAAAGCAGUUGGAGCACAUGGUAUGAUGAGGAUUGCCGGGGUUUACACUCCAGAACACUUGGCUGAGUCAAGUAAGCAGACCUAUGGUGGACAAACCAUCACCGAAUCUGGGUCCCAAUGAUCUAUAAAGAAAGAUACAAGUGAGGGAAUACUCAGUUAUUGAGCAGCUGAACAAAACAUCGGCACAAAUUUCUAUCGUUGAUUUUCUACAGUCUGAUGCACACAAGAAUGCCUUGAUAAGAGUACUGAGGGAGGCAUAUGUACCAAGUACCAUCACCAGAGGCGAAAUAGAAAACAUGGUAGGUCAGGUAUUGAAAAGCCACAAAAUCACUUUCCACGAAGAUGAGCUGCCAUCGAAGUGAUUUAGUCACAACAAGGCAUUGCGCAUCACCGUGCAGUGUGAAGAUUAUUUUAUCACCCGGAUCCUGGUCGUGGGGGUCAAAUCUCAACAUCUGUCCGCUGGUGACACUCAAUACAUUGGGGAAAGGGUUGCAUGAAAUAUCAAGGAUGGGGCCAUCAACGUUAAGUCUUUCGACGGGUCUCUAAGGUCUACUAUUGGUGAAAUUAGCUUGUGUUGCAAAUGGGGCCUACUUGGUUUGAUGUUGAUUUUCAAGUGAUAGACGUGUCGGAAACGUACAAUCACUUGUUGGGACGAUCAUGGAUUCAUGCCUCUAGGGUCGUGGCAUCCACACUACAUCAUGCAGUGAAGAUUGAGUGGAAUCACCAAGAGGUAAUCAUUCAUGGAAACGGUAGCAACCCUAUAGUAUCCAGACCAUCCUAGUGAUUGGAGGAAGAAGAAAGACAUGCGGAGAAACUUACCGCCACAUCGAACGAGUUAACAUCUCGAUAAGGAUAAGUGGUGGGAUAACAAAAUUGAAAGAAUAUUGAACUAGAGGGGGUAUGAACCUUGCAAGGGACUUGGCAAGAAUCUCCUAGGAAUCACUAAACCCAUCAAGCUCAAGAAUCAUGGUACCACCUUCGGAUUGGGAUAUGAGUAUACCUCGAAAGAAUUCAAUGAAUGGUCGCCACCUUGGCGCAAUCCUUACUAUCCAUUGGAGUAGCCGAUACCCUAUUUGGAGCAGACCUUCUAAAUGGCUGAGGUCAUCUAUAGGUCAGAAGAAGAAAAAGCCCUAGCAGCAAUGAGGAACUUGUUCCUAGAAAAUGAUGAUAAGGACUACUGUUUCAUUUUUUAGGAGGAGGGGGAGGAAGGCCCUUCCAUACAAGGUGUAAAUAGAGGAUCACGCCUCAACAACUGGAUCGUCAGAACCACCAGAGCCCAACAUAGCUCGGGGUAGCAAGGCUGAACAAGCACCAUGCACUAUUUUAUUUUACCAGUUUACUUUCCUUUCACACUUUUGUUUCUGCAAGAAAGUGAUUCGAUGUUCAAAACAUUUAUGGAAUUUAUCAAAAGCACUUCUAUUUUGUUAUAUAUCUUACUCUUAUUAUUUUCCCUCAUUACUUUACUUAUAUAGCAUUACUAUUAUUUAUCUUGAUGAACCCAUGACUCUAAUAUGCAACGAGACAACGCAACAAACACACAUAUAUUUAGAGGAAGAUGAUAUACCGGAAGAGAUUGUUAAGAAAGUCAAGAAUUUCGAAAAUAGGCCGAAGUCCAAAUUGGAUGAAACUGAGAUUGUUAACUUGGGAGAUGCACAAAAUGUCAAAGAAACACGAAUCAACAUUCAUUUGUCAUUGUCAAAAAAGAAAGAAUAUACAGAGUUUCUAAGAGAGUAUGGGGACAUAUUUGCCUGGUCGUAUGACGACAUGACGGGUGUGAGCACAUCCAUUAUGGCUCAUAAAUUACCGACUGAUCCAACUUGUCCCCUAGUAAAAUAGAAGCUCAAAAAAUUCAAGCUAGAUAUGAGUUUGAAAAUAAAGGAAGAGAUCACUAAGCAAGUCAAAGCUAAGGUUCUCAGGGUAGUAGAGUAUCUGACAUGGUUUGCAAACAUUGUGCCAGUACCGAAGAAAGAUGGGAAGAUUAGAGUCUAUGUCGACUAUCAGGAUAUCAACCAGGCCAGUCUAAAAGAUGACUCCACCUUGCAAAAUAUACAUAUCUUGAUUGAUAACCGCACCAAGCAUGAGCUGCAGUCAUUUGUUGAUUGUUUUGCUGGGUGCCAUCAGAUAUGGAUGGAUGAAGAAGAUGCUGAGAAAACAACUUUCAUUACGCCGUGGGGGAUGUAUUGCUACAAGAUGAUGCCAUUUGGGCUAAAGAAUGCAGGGGCCACCUACAUGAGGUCCAUGACCACUAUUUUUUCCAUGAGAUGAUACACAAAGAGAUCUAAGUGUAUGUAGAUUACGUCAUUAUCACUUCCAAGAAAGUCACCGAUCACAUGGAAGAUUUGAGGAAAUUCUUUAAUAGACUAAGAAGGUACAACCUGAAAUUGAAUCCCGCAAAAAAUGCAUUCGGGGUUCCAGCUAGAAAAUUGCUUGGGUUCAUCAUGAGUCGUGGAGGGAUAGAAUUGGAUCCAUCAAAGGCAAAAGAUAUUCAAGAAUUGCCAUCGCUAAAGAACAAGAAAGAAGUAAUGAGUUUCUUGGGGAGACUUAACUACAUAAGCCAAUUCAUAGCAUAAUCUACUAUCAUCUAUGAGCCAAUAUUUAAGAUGUUAAAUAAGGACACCGCUAGAAAAUGGACUGAUGACUGCUAAAAGGCCUUCGAUAGAAUCAAGGAGUUCUUGUCAACAAUGCUAGUUUUAGUCCUGCCCGAGUCAGGUAGACCCCUAAUAGUCUACCUUGUAGUAUUGGAUGGAGCAUUCGGAUGUGUUCUGGGCAGCAUGAUGAAACGACGAGGAAGGAGCAGGCCAUCUAUUAUCUCAGGAAGAAGUUCACACCAUACGAGGCCCGGUAUGCUCUAUUGGAACGCACCUGUUAUGCCCUGACUUGGGUAGCCCAGAAGAGGAGGCAUUAUUUCUGUGCUUAUACUAUAUAUCUCAUAUCAAGGAUGGAUCCUUUGAAGUACAUCUUCCAGAAGCCCAUGUCCACUGGCAGGCUAGCCAAGUGGCAAAUCCUGCUGAGUGAAUUUGACAUUGUAUAUGUGACUCAGAAGGCAAUCAAGGGACAAGCACUAGCAGAUCAGCUAGCGAAAAAUCCUAUGGAUAGAAAAUACGAACCUAUGAAGACAUAUUUCCUUGAUGAAGAGGUAUCAUUUGUAGGAGAAGACAUUGCAGAAUCCUAUGAUGGUUAGAGGAUUUUUUUCAAUGGAGCGGAAAAUUUCAAAGGAGUUGGCAUAGGAGCCGUCCUAGUGUCAGAAAUCGGCCAACAUUAUCUGGUAUACGUCAAGCUCAGGUUACCCUGCACUAAUAAUGUGGCAGAGUACAAAACCUGUAUCUUAGGGCUCAAGAUGGCCAUUGACAUGAACAUCCAAGAGUUUCCAGUGAUUGGAGAUUCAAACUUUCUUAUACAUCAUGUCCAAAAAGAAUCGGCAACCAAGAACUCCAAGAUACUCCCCUACCUGCAUCAUGUACAAGAGUUGAGGAAGAGGUUCACAAAGACGGAAUUCCAACAUGUUCCUAGAAUCCAGAUUGAGUUUGCCGAUGCAUUAGCCAACCAAUCAUCUAUGAUACAACAUCUAGAUACGAACUUCAUUGAUCCAAUUUCCGCAAAGAUCUACAAUCAGCCAGCUUGCUGUGCUCACGUUGAAGAAGAAGCAGACGGAAAGCUUUGGUUUUAUGACAUCAAGGAAUAUUUUGGCAAAAACAGAAUACCUAGAGCUUGCAAAUACUCCUCAAAAGUGCACGCUUCAAAUAUUGUCCAAUGAUUUCUUUCAUAGCGGUGGAAUCCUAUAUAAGAGGACUCCAGAUUUGGGAUUACUAAGGUGUGUCGACAUAAAGGAAGCAUCUAAACUGCUAGAGGAAAUUCAUGUCGGGACUUGUGGACCUCAUAUGAAUGAUUUUGUCUUAGCUAAGAAGAUACUCCGGGCAGGUUAUUUUUGGAUGACAAUAGAGACGGACUACAUCCACUAUGUCCGCAAAUGCCACCGAAAGAUGCCUUCAAAUGAGCUUAGUGGAACAAACUCACCAUGGCCAUUCGUCGCAUGGGGGAUAGAUGUUAUAAGACUAAACGAACCUGCCGCAUCAAACGGGCACAGGUUUAUCUAGUAACAAUUGACUAUUUCACUAAAUGGGUUGAAGUUACAUCUUAUAUAGCAGUAACCAAGAAAGUCGUGACAGACUUUAUCUACAACCGUAUCAUUUGUCGAUUCGGAAUUCCAGAUUCAAUCAUUACUGAUAAGGGCUCCUACCUCAAAAAUUAUUUGAUGAAAGCCAUGUGGGAAACCUUCUAGUCAAACAAAUGAAUUCUACGGCCUACAGACCUCAGGUGAAUGGAGUUCUAGAAGCCGUCAAUAAGAAUAUCAAGAAGAUACUGAGGAAAAUAAUAGAGAAUCAUAAGCAGUGGCAUGAGAAGUUAUCAUUUUCUUCAUUGAGGUACUGCACCACAGUCCGCACAUCAACCGGGGCAACUCCCUACAUGCUCGUUUGUGGUACAGAAGCAGUCAUUGCCAUUGAGGUAACAAUUGCCUCCCUAAGGAUCAUAUAGGAAGUAGAAAUCGACGAAGCAGAAUGGGUGAAGAGUCGUUAGGAGCAGUUGACUUUUAUAUAUGGGAAGAGAAUGAAUGCAGCUUUCCAUGGUCAACUUUAUCAGAACAGAAUGUCCAAAGCUUUCAACAAGAGAGUCAAACCAAGACGGUUCACACCGGGGCAUCUGAUAUUAAAGAAGAUUUUUCCACAUCAAGAUGAAGCCAAAGGGAUUAUUCUCCCCCAACUGGCAAGGCCCAUAUAUGGUUCACCGGGUUCUAACAGGAGGAGCCCUUAUACUUGCAGAAAUGGAUGGAGAAAUUUUUUGCCAAAACCAAUCAAUUCAGAUGCAGUCAAGCGAUACUAUGUGUAACUUCAUGCUUUUCCUGUAUGAUGUAAUUUGAACUAUGUCUGACAUGAUUCCCGUUUAAGAGGGGAUACGUAGGCAGCCUUAUUGGUUCGGUCACAAUUCAAUAAAAUUUUCAUUUCCUCCUGCAAUUAGAAACUGGGGCAGAAUUUUGAGGAGGACCCUCAAAAUUCCUAAGUAAUUUCAGCCGAUCAUCGCAAGCAGCCGUCAGAAGUGUCAAUCCAGCAAACUAGGGCACAAUUUUGAGGGGGACCCUCAAAAUGCUGAAGCAAGAGAGGUUGUAGUGUCUUGGACCAUGUCUCAUUCAUUGGUUGAUCUAAAGAAAACUAUUCUUAAUUAUGUAUUUCCGCUAUAUUUCUACUAAAUCAUGCAUGUAUGUCACCAAAAUUGUUCUGUUUAGCAGCGCUACUCCAGGGAUACCCACAGUAUCACCAAAUAAGAGUCGAGCCGGUUAAGCGAAGUCAGUAGGGACACGGAACUAACCUUUCCCCUUUACAGUACACAUGAUUUUUCUUUGGAUGCAGACACCCAAGUUGAAAAUUUAUAUACUCAUACUGUUCAGGAAUACAACUCUCAGAAUUAUCGCUUCACAAUUGAUAUACACAUACAAUAUCCCCAGCAGCCGCAAUAUCAAAAUCAGCUACCGGCUGUCAGCUAAGAAAUUUUAUCACUAUUUGCCUUUUAUCUCUUGCAUAAGGCUACCAUUCUUCCUUAUGAGAUUAAGCUCUACCUCCAUCUGCAUUUGCUGUAAUGCAUAAGGCUACUAUUCUUCAAUCCGAGGUUAAGCUCUACCUCUAUCUACAUUCUUGCAUUGCAUAUGGCUACUAUUCUACCUUCCGAGACUAAGCUUUGUCUCUAUCUGCAUUUCCUGCAUUGCAUACGGCUACUAUUCUGCCUUCCGAGACUAAGUACUGUCUCCAUCUGCAUUUCCUGCAUCACAUAAGGCUACUGUUCUGCCUUCCAAGACUAAGCUCUGUCUCCAUCUACAUUGGCUGAAAGAUCGCCAUUUUACUUACAUUUGUUCCAUGGAUAAGAUAUCUCCACUUCAUUUGAAUCUUGCAUCGGCUAAGAGAUCGCCGUUUUACUUACAUUUUUUGCAUGGCUGAAAAAUAUUGCCACUUUGUUUAAAUCUUGAAUUGGCUAAAAGAUCGCCAUUUUACUUACACUUUUGCACGGCUGAAAUAUCGCCACUUUACUUAAAUCAUGCAUUGGCUGAAAUAUCGCCACUUUUAUUUAGGUCUUGCAUCGACUAAGCUAUCGCCACUUUAUUUAUGCUCUCGUGGGCCGAAAGAUCCCCAACUUUUGCAUUUCAUGGACGAAAAGAUCGCCAAAUCGUCCAAGGGCGUCAUUCUUAGGAGGCACCAUCUUCAAAGCCCGAGAACGCCAUUCCAUUAUCUCUUGCAUAUCAUUAUACAAAGGCAUCAUCGCUUAGAGGCAUCAUUCUCAAAGCACGAGAGCAUCAUUUCAUAGCCGGUGAAUCCUUUAUUAAAUGCUUCAUGGCCCAGGACAUCGUCUGAGGACGUCAUCCUAACCAUCCAAAGACAACAUUCAUGGUCCGAUGGGAAAUCACAUCAUGAUUAAAUUUUUGCACAAUAUAUGCGCAUCUUCUUUAUUUGCUGGUAAACCAGCAAGCAACGACUAUGUCGGCAGGAGCGAUCCUGCUCCGAUUCCCGCAGCCUUACUAGACACUAAACCCCCCACCUUAACCUAAAUAUCGCGUCCCCUCUUGAAAGAUCUCCCUCGGCAUACUCCGCUGACGGAUCCUAAACUACAUAUGACAUGAUUCCUGUAAAACCAGGAAUCUGUAGGCAGCCCAGGAACUAGAGCAGGGUCAAUCGCUUCCAACCAUUCCGUUCGGUCAAACUUGGCCAUCAUAUCUUUACCCGACAACUCUUCCAUCCUUUCCGGAUAAAGAAGGGCAGUGGUUGAUAGCCAAUUUUCCCCUGAUUAUUUUUUGUGUGCUACAUACUUUCAAAUACAAUAUAUAUGCAUAUAUAAGUAUGCCUAAGUGUUUUAGUAUUUUUCUCAAUUUUUAAAAGAUUUUUUAAAUCAAUUUAUUUUCCAUUUUAGCAGUAUAAAAACCCGUAAUUAUUUCAAAAAUUAUCAUCUUGGUGAAUAAUUUUAUUCUCAUAUUCAUACCAAAAUAUAGCUAGAUUAAAUUUUAUACAUUUUUACGUAUUUAUUUUGUAUUUUAAAAGUCAAAUUGCAUAUAAUUGCAAUUUUAGCCUAUUUUGAGAAUUAAUAACAUUUUAUCAUUUGGAAAUCUGUUCCAAUAUUUCAGAAUUUAUAUUUAUAUGUUAUUAAAUGACGCGGUACCUUUAAUUUAUUUCCAAAAUCAUUUUUAUUAUUUGAAUAAAAUAAAAAGGGAAAAACAGGCUAUUUAAAAUCUAACCCAUUUUUAUUUUCAAUUAUAGCCAAAUUUGAUCCCCCUAACUGACCCAAUUUCAAGCCCAAUUUCGGACCAGCCUAAUUACUAUUCAACCCGAAUAUGAUAUGUUCUUAUGUUUUCUUUUCUACCUUGCAUGAUCUUCUACAAUGUUCUUAUGUUUGCAUGUUCUUCUAUUGUGCUCCGUUCUUUCUUAUUAAUACUUACAUAUAAUUAACUGAUCCAGUAUGUCUAAUUUGCUUUCAAAAUCAUAUUUACUAUUUUUUAAAAUAAAAAAGAGAAAACUAACUAUAUUAAAUUUAGCCUCAUUUUGUUUCAAUUAUAGCCCCUUACAUUUAGAUUAUAGCUACAUUGACUCGACCAACUGACCCAAUUUUGAAUCCCAAUCGGACCACCCCAAUCCCAUACUUUCAAUCCGUUUUAAUUACCCGACCCAAGCCCUUUUGAUCUGGACCGUUAAUCUCUUUGAUCAACGGCUCCUAUCCACCCUUCCAUAAUUAAAGCUAACUAACUACCCCAAUCCACUCGUUCUCUUCUCUCGCUAGACCUAAACACUCUCCUCUCUAAAACGCUCUCGAAGGUUCUUGAAACUAUAAUCGCUUUCUACCAUUUUUAACCACAAACUCACCGGAAUCUAUGGCCUCUCAGGCCACGGAUGGCCUAUACCCAUCUAUCUCUUCUCUUAAAUGCUUGGUGUUUGAAGGUUUGAGGUCUGACCUCGAUGGUGUCCGUUCAAAUUUUCUUCGAUUCAAGGUUCCAUGGCCUCUCCGGUGUAUCCAAAGCAUUUCGAGCCUGGUUUUGACUCAUCCGACUUAGGUUAGACCUAUUCCAAGCCUUCUUUACUUUAGGUUCCUAUGAAACCCUAGAUAUUCGUGGUUUUCUCUGUUUGUUUUCUCAUAUCGGUUCUAUAUCUAUGCUCUAUGAGUUUUAAAACAUUUUCCCCAAUUUUUCUUUCAAAAAUUACUUCUCUCUGACUUAGGGUUUCUGAGAAGACUCAAUAUGUUUUCUCUGACUAUUCUUUUCCUUUUUCUUUGUGUAUAUUUUUCAAGCAUGUGUUUCUACUACAAUCAUAUGUUUUGCUACUAUAUAUGUUCUUUUGUGCCUUGUCUUUCUAUUUGUGUUUCUACACCGUGCUUACAUGUUCACCCUACUGUGUUUUCCUAUAUGUCUUGUUGAUAUACUUUUCUGGUAUUUUGUGUUCUCCGACUGUAUGUAUCUCCUACUGAGUUCUUAUGUUCCUUGCUUGCCUUUUUAUUGGACCUUGUUUGAGUUCUCUUUAAAGAUAUUUCGUCUACUAUUUUCUUAAGUGUUAUACUACCUCUUGUCUCUUCUAGACUCGUUUAAAUCCCUGGUUUUCUUAUACAUAUUCGUUCUACCCCCACAAUGUUCCAAAUUUGUUUCUUCACUUUUUUGUUUCAAAUUUGCUAUUGUAUCUGUUUGUUUUCUCAUAACUCUCUGAAAGAGACCUUCGAGCCUGCUUUAGUUAUAUGUCUCCUCGUCUCUGUAUGUGAUUCGAGUUGGAAACCCUAGAAUCUUGGGGUUUUGACGAGCUUGAUCUUCUGCUUAGACUAAGGUUCUAUUUUGGAACCCUCGACUUUUCUGAGUCUAUGAGCUAAGUUGAACUUCUGUGUUUAAAACUCGAAACGUUUUCUAUGCUAGACUCUUCUAUUGAUUGGUACGACAGUUCUUCGUGCUUGAGAAUGGCUGUAUAUUUUAUAUGUAUAAUGAAUUCUGUAUUUCGAAAAGGUUUUCCACUUAUGAUUGAUUCAGAAUCUGUUUCUUUUCACCCGUUUGGGCUCUUGCUUGAAUAGAACUUUUAUGCGUUGGUAGGCUUUUGGCUCAAUCUAAUAGCCCUGUCGGGCGCCAAUAAAAGAGAAAGUCUUUGCAGAGGCUCAUCAUUUGAUGCAGAACCAAUGCAAGAGGGAGAAGCGGGGAUUGAUAGCUUUCAAGAUUCAAUGGAAAUCUGUAGGAGAUGUGUUGACGCACUCUAUCACCUUGUCGAAACCUUGUUCCAAUAAUCUCGCAUAGUACCAAGCCCUAAUACUUGACUUGAGAUGGCUGUGGAUUUGAAAGAGUUUCAACUAUUAUGGAGAUUUUAAAUUGGUGAUCAGUCAACUCUUUGGUAAUUAUUCAGUUAAAAAUCAUGACCCAAAUUGACUCCAUACUAUAAUUACACAAACAAAAAGUCUUACUGGGUGGUUUGGUGAUGUAACCAUAGAUCAUAUCUCAAGAAAAAAAUAGACGAGCAGAUGCCCUUGCAAGACGCUCAAGAUAUUGUUACUGAUUAUUCUUUAAGUAAUACUUUUCUCCACCUUUUCUGACUGGAUUCAUCCAUACCAAAUUCAAACCUUGGGAUUUACUGGCUGUUUAAUUGAUUUCCUUUCCUUAUUUGCACAAACCGAUUGCUGUCAAGACUUUUCCUUAAAUAUACCUCUAUGUAUUUACCCAUCUUGUACUGCUUUGAAAAGUUGUUUGAUUGGUAUAUUUCCUUUAUUACUUUUACACGUUUGAAAUCACAAUCCCUUAAUUAAACGGAGACUUUGUGAAAUUGAUGUCAAAACUAUUCUCCUAACUAUUUCUGCUAGCUUUUUAAACUAUUAAUGCAUGACCUUCUUUAACACAUUAUACAAAUUCAAUACGACCAACUUUCAAUCACACAUUAUCCAUUCAACACUUUUACGCUACUCAAGUAUCAUAGGUCUCUGAUCAUAUCAUUCUGACUAUUUGUUUGCACUUCUUCUUCACAAGGCUGCUGCUUUCUUCUUUUGUUUCCCUAAAACUGGUAUGUUCUAGUUUAGUUUUUAGCUUCAUCCCACUGUAUUUAUUUUAUAGCUUCCAAGAUCCUGUCUACUGUGCUAUCUAUGCUUAGUGUUAAAUGCGUAUAUAGUUCUCUUUCCACUUGUUUCUGUUGUGAAUCCAUGUACCCUUAUUCCCCUCUAUGUGUUUGAGUUAAAGUUCUAAACAUGACAACAUUCAAAUUGUUGCAUAUGUCUGGACUUGAUCAUUUAAGGGGUCCUAACUCCCAAAGAAUGUGGCUAACAGGCUGGUGGGGUAUGCCAGCCCUUCCUAUUGCUGGGUAUGACCACCAGCCUAUCUUGGCUUUCCCCAGAAUCCCCGUUAUUGCACUCACACUCUCCCUUAGCUUCUAAGUUUAGUCCCCCUCCUAUGAGCCUUGCUUUGGGACCUUGAGUUCCCUCCGUAUUUGGACAUUCAAGGGCCGACCCUCCAUACUGCACUGUAAUUCAAUUCUAUGAUGAAUUUGGGUGUAAGCACUGCCCCGAGUCCACGAAGCUCUUGGGAACUCUGACACACCCAAAAAUUAGAAAGGCUUUGAAAAUUCAAUCUUUGGAGUUGGUUUAUUCAUGGUUUAGACAGAUGACAGAAUCAGGCAUUGGUUGGGAAUUUUUUGUUUUUUGAUGUAAUUUUACUUCUUUUUCUUAUUAAAUUCUGGGUUGUAAUAAUCUUGUAAUAACUAUUUAGGUUUUUGGUGAAAAGGGGAGGGUACAUCAUGCAUGAAGGGGGUAGAUAUCAUGUUCAUAGGAAUUUAAUACGUUUCAACCAUAAUGUCCUGCUUUCAGUUUUGCAUUUUAUAUAGAGAUCAUGUUUAUAGGUUACAUAUUUCAUAUAGAAACCAUGUCCAUAAGUUCUGCAUUUUCGUAUAGAAACCAUUCUUAUAAGUUUUUGCACUUCUGUAUUAUCUAGAAAACAUGUUUAUAGGUUCUGCACUACAUAUAGAAAUCCUAUUUAUAGGUUCUAUAUUCUCAUAUAGAAACCAUGUCUAUAAGUUUCUACAUUUCUGCAUUUAUUAAACCAUGCCUAUAGCUUCCUGCAUUACAUAUAGAAACCAUGUCUAUAGGUUUUCCAUAUUUCUUCAUACCACAUAGAUAACAUGGCUAUAGGACUUCAUGAAUUCUAUAUAUGCAUCUAUCACUAGGCAAACACAUAUCUAGGUUUGAAUAACAAACAAUAUUCUAAACACCAUGCCUAUAGGAUUUAUGUACUUCUAUUUCGACUGCAAACAUGUUAAAUCAUUUAGAACCUAUGAAGCAUGCCUAUAUGUGAAUUGUCUAUUUUGUCAAAGUCUAAAACACUAAAUAGCAUUGCUUAAUAUCUACAUAGCUUAUACUUCUAUGUAACAAACAAGACUUCUUCUUUUAAAUCUAGUGAGCUCGUGUAUUGUUAGAUAUCAUGCCUAUAGGUUUCGCCUAGGCAAUCCAUAGGGUGGAUUAGUGAUGGAAUCGGACUUCAUUAAAAUUCUAACCAGCAGGCUGGUCUGAUUGGGAUUUCUUAUCUAAUAUAUCUAAUAAAUCAGUUUGCCUCCCUUUUCCUUUAAGUUUAAUUAAGACCAUAACUAGAAUGUGUAAGACAUACUAGGCGAUCUGUCUUUAAGUUGAGGAGGCCUAUUUGAGCCUUUAAUUGUUAUUUGUUUCCCCAUACCUACUCUACAUGUUUUGAUUAUCGCCUUCGAAUUUUAUCCUUUUAAACCAAGAAAGCCUAAUCUUGCUUCCCUUUAGGACUAGUAGUCCCAAAUGCUUCUGGGGCUGAUUGGAUUCGGGACGCGUAGUAGCAUGCAAUAGGAAAACGAAACCAUUCUACGUUUAAUACCUUAACGAGGUAGGAAAGGUAGAUAUGGGUAUAAUGACCACGCGAUAACACCACGUGUAUAAAUGGUUACCGGGUGUUGUGUGGGGUGAUCCAUAUUAUUUACAAAGCUAGGACCCCCUUUACCUUACUUGUUUAUUUUCAGAAUUUAAAAAAACUGCUCAACUUUCAGCUUCUUUAACUUCUUUUACUUUAAUUGCUUGCAACAAUUAUGUAAAAACCCCUUCCUUUCACUUGUUUAUAUUGAGAACUUCAAAACUACUUUCUUCCAAAACAUCAGCUUCUUUAAUUUCUCUGCUUGCAACCAUUAUGACAAAACUACCUUGUAUUUUUGUUUCUUGCUUGUUUACUUGUCAUUUGCACUCAAAAUCACAAUUAUAGUAUGGUCGGGAACCACACUAGUGGAUCUCGAGGGGUGCCUAACACAUUCCCCUCGAGAUAAUUUCAAGCCCUUACCCAUUCUAUGGUUUUCUAAAUGAAAACUCUUCUUAGUGUCCUAAUGCACUUAAUCAUUGGGUGGCGACUCUUAAAUUCCAACCCAAUUCCAAAAGGAAAAAGAGUUGUCCACUCAAAUGUCAUAAACCCGAUUUCACGAGAAAAAGAUGACAUCGUCAAUAUGUUGUGCCUAAAUUUAAACAUGAUGCAAAUUCCUGCCAGCCCAUGAAAAUUGUCUCUAGACGGUUAGGAUAAAGUCCUUAGACCAUGAUGUCCUGGGCCAUAAAGCAUAUAAUGAAGGAUUCACAGGCUAUGAAAUAAUUCUCUUGGGCUAUGAGGAUGAUGCCUUUGAACCAUUGUGCCUUUGAUUAAUGAUAUGAAAAAGAUUAAAAGGGGAUUAUCAGGUCAUGACAUGGUGUUCUCGUACAAUGAAAAUGGUGCCUCCAAACAAUGACGCCUUUGGAUAAUUUGGCGAUCUUUCAGCCCAUGAGAUGUAGUGGAUGGCGAUCAUGCAGCCCAUGAGAUGCAGUGGAUUACAUUAUUUUAGCCAUGCAAAUGUAAAUAAUGUGGCGAUGUUUCAGUCAUGCAAUGUAUAUAAGGUGCCGAUCUUUCAGCCAUGCAAAUAUAAAUAAUAUGGUGAUCUUUCAGCCAUGCAGAUGUGGAUGGAGGUAGAUCUUAACCUCGGAAUGUAGAAUGGCAGCCUUAUGCAAUGCAGGAAAUGCAGAAGGAGAUAGCAUUUAGUCUCAGAAGGCAGAAUGGUAUCAUUAUGCAAGAAAUAAAUGGGCAAAUGGUGAUAGACCUUUCUUAACUGAUAGCAGAUUGCGGUGUCGUGACUGCUGGGGACAUUGUGACAUAUGGAAUAUCCUCGGCAUGUGUGGAUAGAAAAUGUUGGUAAGUGCGAUAGUUCUAAGAAUUGUAUUUAUCAACAAUGUUGAUCUCAUGAGUAUAUAGCAUGCCUGAUGCUUUCGUAAUUCCAGUACCUGCAUCCAAAGAAAAAUCGUGAGUUUUGUAGAGUGGCAGGUUAGUUUGUAUCCCCGAUGGCUUUGCUUGACCUGUUCGGCUUUGAUCAGGUGAUACUGUAUGUAUCAUUGGAAUAGCAUUGCUAAACAAGGUGAUUUCGAUAAUAAACAUGCACAAAUUUUUUAAAAUAUGACAUAAGAAUACAACUAAGAAACAACUUUUAGAUGAACCGACGACUGUGACAUGCAUCAAGACAUUUCAAACUCUCUCGCUACCGAAUUUUGAGGGUCCUCCUCAAAAUUCUACACCAUUUUAAUAGGUUGAUGCUUCUGGCGGUUGCUUGCGAUGAUUGGCUGAAAUUACUUCGAAAUUUUGAGGACCCUUCUCAAAAUUCUGCCCCAGUUUCCAAUUUGGGGGGGGGGGGGGGGGAAUGAAAAAUUUUUUGAUUUGUGACCGAACCCAUAUGNNNNNNNNNNNNNNNNNNNNNNNNNNNNNNNNNNNNNNNNNNNNNNNNNNNNNNNNNNNNNNNNNNNNNNNNNNNNNNNNNNNNNNNNNNNNNNNNNNNNNNNNNNNNNNNNNNNNNNNNNNNNNNNNNNNNNNNNNNNNNNNNNNNNNNNNNNNNNNNNNNNNNNNNNNNNNNNNNNNNNNNNNNNNNNNNNNNNNNNNNNNNNNNNNNNNNNNNNNNNNNNNNNNNNNNNNNNNNNNNNNNNNNNNNNNNNNNNNNNNNNNNNNNNNNNNNNNNNNNNNNNNNNNNNNNNNNNNNNNNNNNNNNNNNNNNNNNNNNNNNNNNNNNNNNNNNNNNNGGGGGGGGGGGGGAGGGAAUGAAAAAUUUAUUGAAUUGUGACCGAACCCAUAUGGCCGCCUACGUAUCCCCUGUUAAAUUGGAAUAAGGUCAUUUUUUACAUCAUAUAGGGAGGCAUAAACACUAUACAUAGUAACGCAUGAUUGCAUCUCAGUUUAUUGGUUUUGGCCAAACCUCUCCAUCCAUUUCUGUAUGUAUGAGGGCUCCUCCUGUCAAAACCCGACGAACCAUGUAUGGACCAUGCCAGUUGGGAGAGAACUUUACUGUGGCUUCAUCUUGAUGUGGGAAAAUUUUCUUUAACACCAGCUGUACCGGUGUGAACUUUCUUGGCUUGACUUUUUUGUUAAAGGCUCUAAACAUUCUAUUAUGAUAAAGUUGACCAUGGAAAACUGCAUUCAUUCUCUUUCUAUCUAUAAGAGCUAGCUACUCGUAACGACUCUUUACCCAUUCUGCAUUAUCGGGCUCAACUUUCUGUAUGAUUCUUAAGGAAGGAAUCUCUACUUCGGCAGGAAUCACGACUUCCGUACUAUAAACCAACAUAUAUGAGGUUGCCCUAAUUGAUGUGCGGACCGUGGUGCGAUAUCAUAAAAGAUCAAAUGAUUGCUUUUCGUGCCAUUGCUUAUGCUUCUCUAUCAUAUUUCUUAAUAUCUUCUUGAUAUUCUCAUUGAUUUUACCUCAGCUCCCUUUAUUUGAGGCCUGUAGGAUGUAGAAUCCUCAUCUCUGAUCUUGAAGGAUUCACAUAUAGCUUUCAUCAAGUCACUGUUGAGGUUGGAACCAUUAUCAGUAAUGAUCGAUUCUGGAAUACAAAAUGAACAAAUAAUGCGGUCCCGGACAAAGUCUACCACGACUUUUUUGGUUACUGCUCUGAAAGAUGAUGCUUCGACCCAUUUGGUCAAAUAGUCAAUUUCUACUGGGAUAAACAUGUGCCCAUUGAAAGCGGCAUGCUCAAUUAGUCCAAUGACAUCCAUUCCCCAAGCAACGAAUGACCAGGCGAGCUUGUUGCAUUAAGCUCAUUGGGAGGUACCUUUAUCAUAUCUGCAUGUAUCUGACAUCGGUGGAAUUUUCGGACAUACUGGAUGUAGUCCGUUUCCAUAUUCAUCCAAAAGUAAACCGGUUCAGAGUAUCUUCUUUGCUAAGACAAAAUUGUUUAUAUGUGGACCGCAAGUCCUAGCUUGGAUUUCCUCUUGUAGCUUGGAUGCUUCCUUUGCGUCAACACACCUUAACAAUCCCAAAUCAGAAGUCUUCCUAUAUAGGAUCCUCCAUUGUCGAAGAAAUUAUUGGAUAACUUUCGAAGCGUGCGCUUCUGAGUUGGAUUCGCAAGUUCUGGGUAUUCUCCUUUUACCAAAUAUUUCAAGAUAUUGUGAAACCAAGCUUUCCAUCUUCUUCUUUUUCGACAUGGGCAUAGUAGGCUGGCUGAUCAAGGACCUUUACUGGAAUGGGAUCAAUGAAGUUCUUGUCUGGAUGUCGUAUCAUUGAUGAUAGGGUAGCCAACACAUUGACAAACUCAUUUUGGAUUCUGGAAACGUGCUGGAAUUUUGUCUUUGUGAACCUUUUCCUCAAUUACUAUACAUGAUGCAGAUACGAUAGUAUCUUUGAGUUAUUGGUUGCCCAUUCUUAUUGGACCUGAUGUAUAAGUAGGUCUGAGUCUCCGAUCAGUAGCAACUCUUGAAUGUUCAUGUCAAUGGCCAUCUUGAGCCCUAAGAUGCAAGCUUCGUAUUUGGUCAUAUUGUUGGUGUCGAGGAACCUGAGUUUAGCAGACACUGGAUAAUGUUGACUGGUUUCUAAUACUAGGACGACUCCUAUGCCAACUCCGUUGAAAUUUGUUGUUCCAUCAAAAAAUAUUCUCCAACUAUUAUAGGAUUAUGCGAUGUCUUCUCCUAUGAAUAAUACCUUUUCGUCAGGAAAAUAUAUUUUUAAGGGUUCGUAUUCUCCAUCUACGGGAUUUUUCACAAGGUGAUCUGCUAUUUCCUGCCCCUUGAUUUCCUUAUGAGUUACAUAGACAAUGUCAAAUUCACUCAACACGAUUUGCCACUUGGCAAGUUUACCAGUGGGCAUGGGCUUCUAAAAGAUGUACUUCAAGGAGCCAUCCUUGAUAUGAGAUAUGUAGUAUAGGCAUAGAAAUAAUGCCUCAAUUUAUGAGCCACCUAGGUCAUAGAACAGCAGGUGUGCUCUAAUUGGAAUAUCGGGAUUCGUACGCAAUGAACUUCUUGCCGAGAUAGUAAAUGGCCUGUUCCUUUUACCAUGUUUUGUCAUGCUGCCCCAAUACGCUAUCAAAAGCACCAUCUAGUAUUGCGAUGUAGAGUAGUAGGGGUCAACCUCGUUCAGGUGGGACCAAGAUUGGUGAUGUUGAUAGGUAGUACUUGAUUUUGUCAAAAUCUUUCUGGCACUCAUCAGUCAUUUGGCCGUGGCAUCCUUCUUUAGCCUCUAAAAGAUUGGCUCAUAGAUAAGUGUACAUUGUGCUAUGAACCGACUAAUGUAGUUAAGCCUUCCCAAGAAACUCAUCACAUACUUCUUAUUCUUUGACAGUGGCAAUUCUAGAAUAGCUUUUACUUUUAAUAGAUCCAGUUCUAUUCCUCGGCGACUUACAAUAAACCAAGUAAUUUCCCAGCGGGAACCCCAAAUGCACACUUUGCAGGAUUUAGUUUCAAGUUAUACCUAUGUAGUCUGUUGAAAACUUCCUAAUAUCUUCUAUGUGGUCAGUGGCCUUCUUGUAUUUGAUGAUAACAUCAUUCACAUAUGCCUCUAUCUCCUUGUGUAUCAUAUCAUGGAAACUAUUUAUUAUGGCUCUCAUGUAGGUGGCCCCUGCAUUCUUUAACCCAAACGUCAUCAUCUUGUAACAGUAUAUUCCCCAUGGUGUAAUGAAAGACAUUUUCUCAGCAUCUUCUUCAUCUAUCCAGAUCUGAUGAUAACCAGCUAAACAAUCCACAAAUGACUAUAACUUAUGCUUGGCACAAUUGUCUAUCAUGAUGUGUGUAUUUGGCAAAGGGAAGUCGUCUUUCGGAUUAGCCCAAUUGAGAUCCUGGUAGUUGACACAGACUCGGACCUUCCCGUCCUUUUUUGGUAAAGACACAAUGUUUGUUAACCAUGUUGGGUAUUCUACUACCUUGAGAACUUUAGCUUUGAUUUGGUUGGUGACUCUUCCUUGAUUUAUAGACUCAUAUCAGGCUUGAACUUUCUGAGCUUUUGCUUCAUCAGCGGACAUGUUAGAUCGGUGGACAGUUUAUGAGCCACAAUAGACGUAUGUAGGCAUGUCAUGUCAUCAUACGACCAGGCGAAUAUGUCCUCAUAUUCUCUUAUGAAAUUCUGUGUAUUCGUUCUUUUUUGAGGGAGAAAAGUGGACGUUGAUUCGUGUUUCCUUGAUGUUCUCUGCAUCUUCACGGUUAACAAUCUCAGUCUCGUCCAGGUUGGACUUCGGUCUGUUUUAAAAAUUCUCAACUUCUUUAACAAUCUACUCCGGUAUGUCAUCUUCCUUUGAAUCUAUGUCCUUUUGUUGCGUAUUCUCGUUGCAUGUCAUAAUUAUUGGUCAUCAAGAUAAGUAAUAGUAAUGCUGUAUAAGUAAAGUAAUGAGAGAAAAUGAUAAGACUGUUGAUUUAUAAGAAAAAGUCAAAAUACUUUGAUAAAUUACAUAUAUGUUUUGAACAUUGAAGAUCUUAUUGUGGAAAUCAAAAAUGCGAAAGGAAAAAGUAAAAAAUAAAAAUAGUGCAUGAUGCUUAUUCAGCCUUGCUACCCCGAGUCUCCCCGGGCUCUGUUAGUUCUGAUUGUCCAGUUCUUGGGGUAUACUCCUCUAUUACAGCUUGUAUAGAAGGACCUUCCUCCCCCUCUUCCAUGAAUACAAUAGAGCAAUCUAUGUCGGCCAGUUGGAAAGUCUGCUCCAAAGGCGGUAUUGGUUGUUCCAAUGGGUAGUAAGGACCGCACCAUGGUUGCAACCAGUUGUUGAGUUCUUCUCAGUUAUACUAAUAUCCCAGACCAAAAGUGGUGCCAUGUUUCUUGAUUUUUAUAGGCUUAUUGAUUCCUUGGAGAUUCUUUCCAAGCCCCUUUCCAAGUUUGUACCCGUUCCACUUCAAUAUACUCUUGAUCAUGUUGUCCCACCAUUUAUAUUUAACACUUUCAUUCAGCACCCUCAAUAGGGCUGUGUACCUUUGAAUUUUGUAGAAAAACAAGGAUGGAAAUUUGUGCCGGUUUUUUUUCAACUAGUCGAUGGCUGAUUAUUUUUUGGCUUGUAUCUUUCUCCAGAGAUCGUCCGGCCCUGUCUCAAUGAUGGGUGACUAAUUAGAGGCAUUCUUGCACCCUCAACUGGAUGUUCCGAGGUGUAAACUCUACCAGUUCUUGUCAUACGAUGUGCUGCAAUAGCCUUUUCAAAUCUAACCUUUCUUUUUGCCUCAGCUGUAUAGUCCCAUGGUAUAGCCUUUGUAUAGAAUGGUGUGAUGGUCGAUAUUUCCAUUGGAAUCGGCAUGGAUACCUUUACUCCGAAUGGAUCAUGUGCCUUGGAUGGUAAAACUGCAACUUCAAAUUGUAGGGGUGUAUUUGUUGGAGACACAAAUUCGACCUUAAUUGGGCUAUUGUCUUUGUAUAGGACGUUGCUUCAAACUCAAGUGGCACAGACAUAUUUACCUCGGUAUCCCAAGAGGGUUGAAUUUGGACCAUGAUAGGAUUAAGAGUAACUAUAAGUUUCUUUGGGUCAUCACCUUCUACGAUCAACUUGAUCGAUCCUUCGGGAUCCCAAUCAUCUUCUAUUUCAAUCAUGUGAAGCCUCCACCCUUGUGGCAUGGUAGUGGAUUAUUGCAUACAUUUAGAGUAGGUUCCUUUGCCACAAUAAUCAUGUUAUCAAUUAAAGUUUGGAUCUUGUCCUUCAUAGAGCGACAUUCGUCGACGGUGUCUCCUCUUAUGCCAAAAUGGUAUGCAUAGAAUUUGUUUCGGUUAACCUACUAAGAAGGGUUCUCAAGAGUUUCAGCAGGGAUGGGCGGACAUAACCAGUUGCUUUGAGUCUUUCAUACAAGUGGUAAAUAGGUUCAGCAAUAGGUGUAUAUGAUUUGAGGCCUUCGGUCAAAGUUUGGUCAAGGUCUAAAGAAGUUUUGGCAUGUUUGAGUAGAUUGAUAGUAGGAUGGUUAAGCAUUGUAGGCUUGCUAAACAUGUGCAAUUUUGGAAUAUCUUGGUAAAGUAGGCUGAUAUGUGGGAGGUGGAAGGUGAUUGAUAAGUGGGUAGUGGAGUUUUGUAAGAGGGUGAAGGUGCUUGGUAGUUUAGAGUAGGCUGAUAUAUGAGUGGAGUCAUUGGGUAGGCUUGGUAUUUGAUGGGAUAUUUGGUUCUCUGUGCCACCAUUACGGCUCCUACGUCCCGUUUCUUGGAUGCACCAACUGACUGUAAGGCCUUACUUGUAGCUUGUAAGGCCUCAAAGUUCGUAACCAUACCGCUUUUGAUGCCCUCUUCGAUCCUUUCUCCCAGCUUGAUAAUGUUCAAAAAUUUAUGGCUCUCGAUCAUCAUUAGAAUUUCAUAAUAUUGAAGGUCCUAAGCCCGGCUGAAGAAUUUGUUCAUUUGUUCCUCCUCUAAGGCAGGCCUGACCUUAGUAGCUUCGGACUUCCAGCAAAUAGCAUACUCGCGAAAAGUUCUGUAGGCUUCUUCUUUAUAUUUUGAAAAUAGAACACAUCUGGUGCACUCUCCAUGUUGAACCUAAACCUGUCCAUAAAUUUGGACGCCAUGCCUACCCAGUUCGACCACUUCUUUGGAUCUUGGCUAAUGUACCAAGACAAAGCAUCUCCUUUCAAGCUCCUCAUGAAAAGCUUCAUGCGGAUUCUCUCAUCUUGUCCUACCCCCAACUAGCUUGUCACAGUAUGUUCUCAAGUGGACCAUUGGAUCCUCUGUACCAUUAAACAUCUCGAUCUUAGGAGGUUAGUACCCCUCGGACAGUUCGAUAUCAGGCUUUAUGCAAAAAUCUUCAUAGUUUAGCCCUUCAAUUCCCUUACUUCCUUCACCGCCUUGAAUUUGGCUAGUCAAUUUCAUAAGUUCUUCAGCAAUAUUCCUGAUGAGCAAGUCCUUAUCAUCAGACUCGGGUGUGCUUGAGAUGGGUUGGGUGGAGUGUGCCAUAGUCUCCACAUAGAUGGGGGUGUUAUGGUGGGUGUGGCCGUGAUCAUUUAUGGAGUUUUGCAGUUCUGGGAUGAUCAGCGGGGUGUAGUUUAAAGUGUGGAAGGUGUUGUAGUGAUGAUGAGCAGCGGAGUGUUUUUGUUGCUUUGGAAUAUUUUGUAGAGGUGUAGGUUCUGGGCGUUUGGGAAAUUGAUAUCUGGAGUGGUGAGGGAAAAUGAUAGAUUUGCUAGAUUCAGAACCUGAUCAAGUUCUUCAUAGAAUUUCAUCAGCUUUUGUUUGAGUUGGGAUGCACUUUCCUUAGGAACUUGAGUACUAUGACCAUGAGUGACUUAUACCCGUUCAGUUGAGUUCUUCUUUCUGGUGUUGUUCGAAUCUUCCAUCUUCCCUUUGUUUUUGUUUCUGACAGGACUAAGAGGAGGAGUGGGUGGAGGGCCCCUGAAUUUCGUGGAAUAAGAUGAUGUUGCACGAGUGCACGAACUAACCUUUGGGUAGGGGGAAUAAUAAGCAAAAAGUAAAAACAAAAAGGUAACAAGUUAGUGAGGAUUAUAAAAUGUGUUACAAUAUUUAAACACAUAGUGCAGAAUGUAAGGCGCGUACUAAUUUGGGGACCUCUUUAUGCCCGAGGUAGGCCUAGCGACAAAAUAAUUUAGAGAACUCAAAAUACUAGAUGCCUCAUUUUAUUGAUAGAAAAUAAGACGACUCCCAAAUCAACACUAAACAAACAAGAAAUAAAUGUCACUAAUGGCCAUUGGCCUUAUUACAAUUCAUGUAAUGCGAAAAAGAACACUCCUAUCUAUUUGGUCCCAGAAGGACCUUCCACGUAUUCAGCAUCCUUGACUCCAUCGAAUAGCUUUCCCAACUCGCGAAGUCCCGGAAAUAGGUAAGCCAUGUCUAGAUGUCCGCCUUCAUUUCUGUCAGCAUUUUAACAGUUUUAGACCCUCUUUAGAACUUUCUUUCCAAUUCCACUAUGCCUCGUUCCAAGUAUCCCAGUCACUUUUUGGCAUUGAAAGCCAUGUCUUUCAACUUCUCAAUAAGCUUUUGGUUGGCUUCUUGUAUCUCGCGGUGUUAACUCUCUCUUUCACGGAUCCUCUUGCACAGCUAGUUGUAUUUGACAUGUGCCUCGCUUUUUUCAUCUAUGAUCCAGUGACCUCGAACAAACCCAGGUUGGACCAUGCCAUCAUGAUUAUCCUCCAACUAGCUUGAAUAGUAGGGAGCACAACAAGCAUGGUAUCUAUCUGGCUCGAUGGUAUGCCUCCCCAUGAUGAUUUUGCAGUUCCACAUACGUUGAGCUUGGCAGUUGUAAGGACUAUUAUCAUCCUGGAAGUCCGCUCGAAAGUGACUCAUCUUGUCGGCCCUCGAUACAACCUGCUUCCUACCAGCUUGCCUCAUAUCCUGGAGAGGGACGUAAGGUUAUGUUCCUCUCAGGCUGAUCAGUAUCACGAAAGGUGCAUCUCCGGAUUAGGCGAUGAACUCAGGAACCACUCGAACAUCCAUUGUACCUGGUCCUCAGUCAGAUUUUCGAAAAGAUCAACCUAUUCUCUACCACUCUAUGGUUGGGAGAACAUAUUGGGCAUGUAAUUCAUUUUCUUUGGAUGAUGGAAAGCGAUAUGAUCAUCCCAGUCCCUUCGUUGAAUAUCUUGUCGGUAUUCACCCCUUUGGAGAUGCUCCAUGAGUUAGAGCUGAAGUAGAAAAUUCCAGCCUUCGAAAUGUUUGGCUCUUCGUUGAUACUUUUCCAAGGCUCGAUAUAUCUCUGCAAUGAUCAUGGGCACAAUACUGAAUGGUUGCCCGCCAAUUCCUUCCAUUAAGGUCUUUGUUACCAUAGCCAACCUAGUGUGGAUCCUUGCUUUCUUCUUUGGAAACAUGAUCAAACCUAGGACAGAAAACAUGAAUACAAAGACCCUUCGUUAAAUGUGCCCUAAUGAUGUGAUGGAAAACUCAUCAGGAUAGGUACAGUAGGAUUUGAUGUGUUCUUACUUCUCUUACAAAUUAUCAAAAGGGAUGUAGGAUUCUUUCAAACAUAUUAGUUCUGGAUUCUUCUUCAAGCCCAUCAUUUUUAGGAAAACCCCCGCCCUUGCAAUUCUCAAGCAGUAAGGAACCCGUAGUUUCCAAUGGUAUACCGGCUAAUCCUCCUAGUUAUUCUAGUAAGGGUGUCAUUUCAAUGUCCCCGAAGUGAAAUACGGACCUCGCACAAUCCCAUAAAAUAGUAGCAUCUUCUAUGAUCUUGUUGUUGGGUUGGAUUUUCAGGAGAGAAAGUAGGUUUUCCAAAUAUUUCCAUAUAAGAGUUUGACACUGGCGUGAAGAUCUUUCCACCAGCUUAACAGUUUUGGGUGGAUGUUGGUGACCAUGCAGUUGCAAGACUAGAGGCAAUCAGACACCUCAUAGCCUUUGCAGCACACAUGGAAUUCACUAUCCAUCAGAUGAAUAUCAAAAGUGCCAUCCUGAAUGGCAACCUAAAGUAAAAAGUAUUUGUCAAACAACCCCCAGGUUUUGAAAGCAAGGAAUGUCCGGAGCAUGUGUACAAGUUAGACAAGGAUCUAUGUGGGCUCAAGCAGGCCCCAAGAGCUUGGUAUGAACGUCUAUUUAAAUUCCUACUGGACCAUGGUUACAAAAGAGGUAAAAUUGACAGGACCUUGUUCUUAAGGAAAAAAGGUAAAGACCUUCUUGUUGUGCAAAUAUAUGUGAUGACAUAAUAUUUGGGGCCACAACUUAUAGGUUGAGUAAGGACUUUGCAAAACUAAUAGGGAAUGAGUUUGAAAUAAGCAUGAUGGGUGAGCUUAACUUCUUCUUAGGCUUGCAUAGCAAAUAAAAUCCAAAUAGAACCAUGAUCCAUCAGCAGAAGUAUACAAAAGAAUUAAUUAAAAAUUUUAAAAUGGAAGAUUCUAAAGAAAUAGGCACACCUAUUGCAAAUGCCACUAAAUUAGAUGUUGAUGAACCUUGUUCAUGAGUUGAUCAAAAGUUGUAUAGGAGUAUAAUUGGUUCACUUUUGUAUCUUACAACCAGCAGACAUGACAUUGUUUUCAGUGUAGGACUUUGUGCUCUAUUUCAGGCAAAUCCAAAAGAGUCUCACUUGACUAUUGUAAAGAGGAUACUAAGAUAUCUGAAAGGCACCACUGAUCUGUGUCUUUGGUAUCUCAAAGGUAGUAAUUUCAAUCUAGUAGGAUGUUCUGAUGCUGAUUAUGCACGUUUCUUAAUGGAUAGGAAGAGCACCUCAGGUAUGUCACACUUCAUUGGUUCAUGUCUUGUGCCAUGGGCUACCAAAAAGCAAAAUUCAGUAGCUUUAUCUACUGCUGAAGCUGAGUAUGUUGUUGCUACUUCUCGUUGUGCUCAAUUUCAAUGGAUUAAACAACAUCUAGUGGAUUUUGGAAUUAAAUUGGGAUGUAUUUCAAUAUUCGGUGAUAACACUACUGCUAUAAGUAUGACAAAGAACCAUGUUCAUCAUAAAAGGACCAAGCGCAUAGAUGUUAACACCACUUCUUAAGAGAUAACUAUGAGAAAGGAUUAAUUUCAAUAAAAUUUUAUGCUACUGAUAAAUAAAUAGCUGACAUUUUCACUAAAGCAAUGAGUAGAGAAAACUUUGAGAGGAACAAGUUGGAAUUAGGGAUUAUUAAGAUCACCUAAAAGGUCCAGUUUAGAAUGCACAAUGAAGCAAAAAAAUGAAUGAAAAAGAAUUCAUUUGGUUAGAAGUUAUAACUUUGUGUAAAUAUCUAGAUCAAUUCUUACUCAGCCUCAUAUUUUAAUCAGUAUACUCCUGUGAUAUGUGUAUAUAUUGCUCACUAAUAUCUUACAAAGUUUUUUUAAUUAUGAAAUUUGAGGCAUGUUUAAGAGAGUUCUACAUGAAGAACCUGCUUCAUCAACAUAUGUUAAUGAGAAAUUUAAAGUAUAUUUUCUAUACUUUGCACAAUUAGAAAGAUUAAUUUUCCAAUCAUGAGCAAAGUCCUACUUUUAUUAAACUCAAAGAAAUUCUAUCUGUUGAGCAUUGAACCAGUUGUGUUCUCCUAAAACUCUAAAAAUGGGACUUUUGCCUAAAAUAUAGCGAUGCCUAAUAAUCACUAAAGAGACUGGAAUUCUAUUUUGAUUAGACUCCUGAUUGAACCCUGAAAAAACUGUAGUUGCCUCAAUUAAUUCUAAUCACCUCUAAAUACUCACCACACCUUUCUUCAUUAUUUCAUAACCGUCAAAAACCCCCUCUCCAGUUCGGAUCAUCUCUUUUCUCUCCAAAAUUCCCAAACCUUCUCCAAAAAUAAUUCAUCAUGACUAACCCCAAGAUAAUCCAGGCGCUCCCCCACCAGUAUCCCCUUCUAAUACGUCUUCAUCUAAUCCUCCUAGUUUUUCCCCAAAACCUAGGUUACGUAGACAGAAAAUGUUGGCUAGAAAAUUUGUGGCUUUUGGGUCUCAAAGAAAAGCCAUAAAUGAGAAAUCGAGGGCUAGCCAGAAGAAGGAAAGUCCUGCUCGAGAAUCUGACUCUAGCUUUGAGUCUGAAGCCUUUAUUUCAGCUAUCGAAGGUGAAGAACAUGGGUCUUCUGACACUGACAAAAAUCAAGAAACCCCUGGUGAGGUAAAUAAUUGUUUGGUAUUUUCUGAUAUAGUUGAAAAUAUAGAUAAUAGGUUUGUUUUGAUUAGUUCUGUGAAAGAUGUAAAGGGGGUUGAGUCACGUAGGAGGGGAGGUGAAAAUAAAGAAAAAGUUCUUGUUAUCUAUGGGAGUGUUGAAGAGAGUGGCAACAAUUCAGGGGGAAGUGGUUCUAGGGAGGCUACUCAAAGGCUUGUUCAUUUGAGCAAGCAACAAGAUGCACUUGGUUCAUCUAUUGAGGAAACUCUAGCUAACAUUCUGAAAAAUGUUGGAGCCUGUUAUGAUCGAAAGAAGCGCAAAGCUUCCUCACAAAAGGCUCCAACUGCUUCUAAGUCAACAAAGAAAAGCAGUGUCAUCUCCAAAAUCCUACCGUCCCCACAGUACCAAAGGGAAGAGCUACUAGAAACAGGGCCAAACAAAGUAAAGAAGAGUUACAGAAAGCUCUGGAAGAAAGUAGGAAAAAGAAGAAGGAGAAGGGAAAAUCAAAGGUUGUGGAAAGUUCUGAGGCUGUAGAAGAAGAGGAUGAGGAGAUAGUACUGGUCCAUCAAGAAAGAAGAAAUAAUGUGGAGGUUCCUACACCCAAACCAAAAUCAUCUAAGACUUCUUCCAAGAAGUCUUCCUCUGAGCCUGUAUCUGUUGAACCCUCUUUAACAAAAAGAACUAGAUCUGCAGUAAAAAGAAAGCAAGUAAAAAUUACUGACGAAGAAGAAGAAGAAUGUAGUGGAGAAGAAGAAGAGAAGAAUCUGAGAAGGAGCAAGAUAUGUUUGCCACCUUUGGCAGGAUAAAGAUUUUGAAAGGAAGAUUGUUGAAAGACCUGGAUGAGCCAGGAAUGAGAAAACUGAUGGAAGCCCUAGCUGCACAAGGGUGGAAAGACAUCGUCCUUGAAAUGGAUGGCAAGCUGGCUAGGAAGGAGUUGAUUGAGUUAAUGGCCAAUGCCACUUUAAAGAAUGGGGUUGUCACAAGCAUGGUGAAAUGAGUAAAGGUGCAGUUUGAUGCACCCAAAUUUGAUGAAAUUCUGGACAUACCCAGAUAUGAUGAUUAUACUAGGUAGAGGUGGCCUUGUCUAGAUUCUCUCCCUACUGCUUUCCAAAUCACCAGAAAUCUUUUUGAUACUGUAAGUGCUGAAGAUGUGCCUGAAGCCAGAUUUGUGCAGAAAAGUGAGAUGAGGGUUGAGCACAAGGUCCUAUUUGAGUUUGUUAACAAAUGCCUUCUGUCCAGACAGGAAAUGAGGCACACUGCCAACUACAUGGACCUGGUUCUUAUGAAGUACCUUGUGAGAGGAAUGUAGAUACAUUGGCAUGCUUUUAUUAUCAAACUGCUGGAUAGGGUCAUUAAUGGCUCCAAGGCUCAUGCCACUCUAUAUGGGUUCCUAUUGACUACUGUUCUGGAGAGGUUGAAUGUGCCUUUUAAGAAAUGGGAGAUGGCAUGAAGCAAGGAACACUAUGGUGCCAGGACAUUUAUGGCUUGUGACUAUCACGUAAAUGCCAUCCCAGUUGAACCUGGUUCAUCACUGAAGACUACAGUGAACAACAAGGUUAGGGCUUUGGUUCAAGAAUGUCGAACUAAGGAUACUGAAAUUGCUAGGUUGCAGGCUCGUGUUGCUGAAUUGCAAACUAAGAGAGAUGGUCUUAGAGCUGAUCUUGCAAAGGAAAAGGAGAAGAGGGAUGGAAUGCUUCAGAAUAUUCUCAACCUUCUUCAAACCCAGCCCUCAAGUUCCUCCAAGCCUUAGGAUGUCUAGUUCUUCUCUUCUGCACCCAUCUAGAACCCCCCCAGUGACCUAGAUUCGGGACUUUUUCUGUUUUUGUUGCUCAUGUUUGGAAGUUUUUCUUUCUUUUUGUGGCUUGUUGGUGGAAACAUAUCAUUAUCAAUAGGAAUUGCUUUUCUCUUGUUCUAUGAAGAUUCUGAUUUUAAUAGUUAAUUUUGUUUGUUGGUUGUUGAUUCAUUGAACCAUGUUUUCACUUGCAGUUGCCACACUGACCAUGAGUAACUAUAUAAAUCUGGGAUUCACAAUGUAUAUGCAACUUUUCAAUGACGCCAAAAGGGGGAAGAGAUAUAUCACUUUACUCUUAUUCUGAAUAAUGUGAUAUUUAUAACCUAAUUAAACCUGGUCUUUGAUGAUAAGUUAAAAUUCUAAGUUAAAGUAUUGAUGGUUAAGCUGAGUUCCUACAGAUUCUUUGAGCAGUAAAAGCACAGAGUUCGUCAUCAUCAAAAGGAGGAAUUUUUUGGCCCAAGUUCAGAUUAAGUUUUAAAGAAUGACAAAUAAACUCAGUCAUAGACUAGGUCCAUCAUGAGAGACACGGUGUUUAUCAGCCUAUACAUGUGAUUUGCACGUGAAGAAGAUAAGUCUCAAGGAUCAAACAACAAUAAUUUCUUAACUGAUUAAAAAGGUUGAAUAUUGGAUGAGAAUAGGAAGUCUCCUUAUAGGAAAAUGACACAAUCCGGAUAAAGGAUAGGAUUGGAGUUUGUAUUAUUCAAGGACUCAACUUCGAUGGAAUAUCAGCAAUUGAGUCUCAAUCAAACUUUAAUUACUAACUCAUUAAAUAACAUUGAUUGUUCUCUUUUGCAGGUAUUUCACAAACGCAGAAGUGAAACUAAAUUGAGAGCAAAAAUGCGAGGCAAUUUUGCAAGCAAUUUAUGUGAGAUUUGAGUGUGCAUUCCUGAAGCUACUUGGACAAGAUAGAAGAAUAAAUUCCAUUGUGUUUAUUCGUAUUCUAGUUCAAUUGUAGUGGGUGGUUUAAUUUUGUACCUUUCCAGCUUUCAUAGAUGCAAUUGUAUUAGGUACUUUGAGUAUUCAAGUUAGAGUAAACUUGAAGGUGUUGCAACAGUUGAGGUUGUGUGCUACACUAGGCUUAGAGUUAAUCCUUAGGUUUACAAAGAGUUUUUGUAAAUGUUGUUCUGGCUCAGUGAUUUUAGUGGAAGUUUGGGAAAAUCCUACUAGUAGUAGGUUGUAACUUGAAAGUGUCACAACAGAUAAGGCAGUGUGUCACACUAGGAUUAGAGUUAAUCCUUAUGUUUACAAAGAGUUUUUGUAAAUAUUAUUUUGUCUUAGUAAUUUUAGUGGAUGUUGGAAAAAUCCUACAAGGUAGUAGGUCGUGGUUUUUAACCAAUUGAGAUAGGUUUUUUCCACGUAAAAAUCUCUGUGUGCUUUAUUUUCUGUACUUUUAGUUCUGCAACAGUAGUAGUUAGAACACCUAGAAGAAUCAGACUCUUCUAGAUAAAAAAAAUUAGGUACCACACAAAUCACUCCUCCCCCCUCUUGUGUGGUGUUAAUGUUAAAAACAUCACAAAGGAAUACCACUUGAUUAUUGUCAAGAGAAUAUUGAGAUACUUGAAAGGCACUACUGACUUUUGUCUUUGGUAUCCAAAAAGGUAGUAAUGUUAACCUAGUAGGAUAUGCUGAUGCUGACUAUACAGGUUCCUUGUAGAUAGGAAGAGCACCUCAGGUAUGGCACACUUCCUUGAUUCAUGUUUUGUGACAUGGGCCACUACAAGCAAAAUUUAGUGUCUUUAUCCAUUGCUGAAGCUGAGUAUGUUGAUAUUGCUUCCUAUUGUGAUCAAUUACUAUGAAUCAAACAGUAGUUGAUGGAUUUUGGUAUUGAAUUUGGUUGCAUCCCUAUUUUUUAUGAUAACACUAGUGCUAUUAGUAUGAAUAAGAACCCGGUUCAUCAUAAGAGAACUUAGAACAUAGAUGUUAGACACCAUUUUUUAGGGACUACUAUGAGAAAGGACUGAUUAUUAUAGAAUUUUGUGCUACUGAUAAAUAAAUUGCUAACAUAUUCACUAAAGAACUAAGCAGAGAGCACUUUGAAAGGAACAUGUUAGGUUUAGGGAUGAUUAAGAUAACCUAAUGGGACCAGUUCAGAAUGCAUAAUGAAAAAAAUGAAAAACAAAUUUUUUUGGGUAGAAAAUCUGGAACUUGUGUAAAUAUCUAGAUUAAUCGUUGCUGAGUCUCAUACUGUAAAUAGUAUAUUCAUGUGAUAUGUGUUGUCUUAACAAAGUUUUCUCUAAUUUGGUAAAUUGAGGCAUGAUUAAAGGGAUUCUUAGUAAAGAACCUGGUUCAUCAGUACUGGAUCAUCUGAAUAACGAGGUUAGUUUUCUACACUCUGCACAAUUAUAAAUAUUAAUGUUUAAUUAAUGAGUAGAGUCCUGCCUAUGUUCAAAAUCAUCACAAAUAUCCCUCUAGAUUUUGAACUAGUUCCGUCUCUAAUAGAACUCUCACCACAUAAAAUGCCUAGAAUCUUGGGAAGUUUAACCGCUUAUUCAACCUGAAAGUUCAAGUUGAUUGGACUUCUCAUAGACUAAAGAAAGCUUCUGUUAGUCAUUAAUUAGGCCUCUUUAUUUAAAAACCCAUCAUCACAACCACUACCACUCUCAUAAUUCUCUAAAAUGCCAAAUUUCUUCUAUUCUCUAUUCUUCUCUCUUCCAAAACCGCAAUUCACAAGUUCUCCUCUAGAAUUAGCAAGAUGUCUAACCCCCAAGAUAAUCUAGGCACUCUUCCACAACCUAUCCGCUCUAAUUCCUUCACCCCUCCUCCACCCAGCACAACCCCCCAACCUAAGAAAAAUCAAGGGAAAAUUCUUGUUAACAAAACUAUAGCAACAAUUGUCAAAGAAAUUGAACGCAAAAUUAAAGGCUAGCCAAGCAAGAAUUCUGAAAACUCAUAUGACUCUUUCAAAUCUACGAGUGAUGGAGAAGGAAUUGAGUCUUCUGACUCUACGAAGUCUCAAAAAUCCCUUUCUGAGGUAUGUUCUGUCUUAGUUGAGAAUUUAGACAAUAGGUUUGUUCUGGUUGGGAUAGUUAGGGAUGUGAAAAUGUUGGAGCCAAGAAGGAGAUGUGGUAAAAAUAAAAGUGAAAAAGAAAAGGAGAGUGAGGUUAGGAGUAAUGAUGUGAGGGGAAAAGGGAAAGAAGUGGUUGACUCUUCACCCAGUUAUGAAUUGGUGAGACCAACUAUCUGUGGGGUUGAACAUGCAACUGUGAAAGAGAGUAGCAAGAAGAAAAGGGGAAGUGGUUCAGGAGAGGUUGCUGAAGGGCUAGUUAAUCAUAGUUCAUAGGCAAAUGAAUCUGAUUCAUCAAUUGAGGAGACCUUAGCGGACCAUUUGAAGAAAGUAGGUGCUAUUUAUGAUCUAAAGAAUAAGAGAACCCCUACACCAAAAGCCCCUAGCACUGCAAGACCUUCCAUCAAGAGAAAGGCUUCUUCUCAAACAAUUGCUGAGAUUUCUCUACCAAAAGGAAGGCCACAAGAAGUAUGAUGAAGUAGAGUGAGGGUGAGCUACAAAAGGCUAUGGCAUAAAGCAAGAAGAAGAGGAUGCACAAAGGAAAAGCUAAGGUUGUAGAGCAUGCUAGUUGUAGAGCAUGCUAAGGCUGUUGAUGUGGAUGAGAUGGAAUAGGCCCAUCGGAAAGAUCACAUAACUGUGAAGGUUCUGACCCCCAAGCGCAAAAAGACCAAGACUUCUUUCAAGAAGUCUUCAUCUAUGUCUAAGACUGUUGAACCUCCAUUAGCCAAGAUGACAAGGUCUGUUGUAAAAAACAAACUAGUUAGAAUUAAUUAGGAUGAGGAAUGGAGUGGUGAAGAAGAGAGUAAACUGAUGAUGAACAAGACAAGCUUGCUAAGUUUAGAAAAAGAAAAAUCUUGAAGGGUAGACUUCUGAAGGAUUUUGCGGAACCACGGAUGGUUUGAUUGGUUGAUAAUCUGGCUGCUCAAGGCUGGAAUGACAUGGUCCUUCAGUUGGAUGGUAGGCUAGCAAAGAAUGAGAUCAUUGAGUUCAUGGCCAAUGCUAGCGUAAAGGAUGGCAGAGUUACCAACCAGGUCAAAGGGGUUCAAGUGACCUUUGAUGCAAAGGAGCUGGGUAAGAUUCUUGACAUUCCUUCUGAAGGAUAUGAUGACUACAAAAGGCAAAGAUGGCGAAGUAUGGACUCCCUUCCUACUGCCAUUGCUAUCACUAAGAGAUCUUCGAUGUCACAGAAGUGAAUGAGGCCACAUUUGUUCAUAAGAGUGAAAUUAAACUACAACACAAAGUUCUAUUUGAAUUUGUCAACAAGUGCUUGUUGUCUAGGCAGGAAAGAUGGCAUAUUUCUAACAAUAUGGACUUGGUGUUGAUUGAGUGUCUUGAAAGUGAAAGGUAUAUAAACUGGCCUACAUUUAUUAUCAAGCUACUAGCAAGGUUAUCAAUGGCUCCAAAACUCAUGCUACUCAUUAUGGGUUUAUUCUAACUAUUGUGCUCAAUCGUUGUAAGGUGCCACUAAAGAAGUGGGAAAUGGUUACAAGCAAGGAUCACUUUGGAAUCAACACUUUGAUUGAUUGUGUCUAUGAGGUUACUGCCAUUCCUAUUGAACCUGGUUCAUCCAAAACGACACCUAUAAAUAGCAAAGUCAGAGCUCUAGUGCAGGAGAGUGGGGCAAAGGAUAUUGAGAUAGCUAGGUUGAAGGCUCGUUUAGCAAAGGUUGAAUCUGAGAGAGAUGCUCUCAGAAUUGAGCUCACAAAGGAAAAGGAGAAUAAUGAAGGCAUUCUUCAAGACAUGGUGCACCUUUUCCAAGCCAAAACCCAACCCUAUUUCUUCCCAGCUUUAAGAUCUUUAUACUUCAAUUGUAGAACCUUGUCUAUGGGUUAGGGAUUUUUCUUGUUUUCCUCAUAUUUUUGACUAUUUUUAUUUCUUUUUGUGGAUUACCGUAGCAUCAUAUUAUCUAUCAAUGAAGUCUGCUGAUUUUUCUCUUGUUGACUGUUUAUAUUUCCUUGAUAGUUUGAAUAUGUUUAGUUGAUUAUUGAUGAUUAAUCCAUGAUUGCACUUACAGUUGCCCUAGUGGCCAUAAGUAAUUGUUUAAAAUCUGGGGAUCACACUUUGUUUAUGAUAUUUUUAAUGAUGCUAAAAGGGAGAAGUGAUAUUGUGCUUUACAUUCUGAAUAAGUUAUGUUUAUAAGCUAAUGAACCUGGCCCUUGAUGAUAAGUGAAAAUUUUCUAACUAUGCAUUGAUGUUUGAGCUGAGUUCUAACAUGGCCAUCAAAAAAGGAGAAUUUGUUGUCCAAAGUAAAGGAGAGUUUUAAAGAUUGACAAAGGAACUCAGACAUGGACCAAAUUCAUCCUACUGAACUAAUGAUGUUUUAUAUUUCAAUGUCACAUAAGAGGGUGGAGGGCGAUUUGUAUGGUACCCUAUUUUCCGUUUAACUUGAUUAUAGAAUGACAUGUUUCUUCUAUGUCUUCCAACUACUACUGUUGUGAAAUAAUAAAUACAAAAAUUAAAGAACACGGAGAUUUUAUGUGAAAAACACCUGGCUCAACAAUUGAAAAAAACCACGACCUACCUUCCAGUAGAAUUUUUCCAAACUCUCCACUAAAAUCACUGAGCCAAAAGCUGCAUUUACAAAAACUCUGUUGUAAACCUAGGAUUAACUCCAAUACCGUUGUAGCUCACAUCCUCAACUGUUACGAUAUUUCAAGUUAGCUCUAACGUGAAAACUCUAAGUACCUAAUACAAUUGCUUUUAGAUAAAGCUGAAAUGUACAAUAUAAAAAUACCCACUACAAUUGAACUAAAAUAAAAGACAUACACUUGGAAUUGGUUCUUCUAUCUAGUUCAAGUAGCUUCAGGAUUGCACACUUGAAUCAUACAUAAAUUGCAUGCGAAAUUGCCUUGCUAUUUGCUCUCAAUUCAUGUUUAACUUGCUUAUGUGCAUUACUUGUAAAAGAGAACAACACUACUAUUUAUGGAGUUAUUAAGUAGUGAUGGACUAGAAUACAAAUGCUACUCUUCCUUGGUGGAAGAGUUCUAAUUGGUCUCAUCCUCGAACUCUAUCCAGCUCUUAAACCAUGUUAUCUUUGUGUAAGAAGUUUUUCCCUUUAUCCAAUAUAUAACUUUGUCGAUUAGGAUCAGGAGAUAUCAUUUCUAGUACUAUUUUAUUUACGUGCAGCUCAUAUGGUUGAAUUCCUACAUAUACUGAUUUCGACUCUUGAAAAUUAAAUUUUAUUUUUUGGUAAGAAUCGCCAAAGCGCCUUCUCCUUUUAUAAAGUUUAUGCAACAGGAAUCUAAAUUUGUUUGACCAAUAAAUAUCAUGGCGGGCACGGAUGAUUAAGGAAAAUAAAUAAGGAAGGAGAACUCACUUUUUGUAAAAAUAAAAUAAGAGUGGAACCACAUCUUUUAGGGCAAUGCAAUUGGAGAAUUAACUACGAAACACGAUGGGUCUAUAUUAAUCAGUGCAGACGUUAUAAAUAUUUGUGUUUUAUUGUCUGAAACCUACUAUUAACACAAGCAUUAAUUUUUUAUUUGUACCAUGGAGCAACCAUAUUUAAUUACUACUACUUAUCAUAACAGAAUAAUGGACCAGUUCCAUUAAUUGCUCCCCCAAGCUAGAGAUCUCUUGCUAGUCAUAUCGUGCUUUUGUCUUUUCCCUAUUAAUUGGCAAUAAUUACUCUUAUCUCUUUAAAUUAUGGGGAUAUAAAAUAUUACCUUCGGUAUAUAAUAAGUGAUUAAUUUGCUUUUAGCACGCUCAUUAAAAAAAUAUCAAAUUUCAUAUAAAAAUACCUAUUAUAACUAUAGUAUCAUUAUUUAAACAUUUAAUGCGAGGAAUGAGAAAACUUUUUAGGGAUAUGUACAUAGGGGUUAUUUUGUUAAAACAAAUUGAAUUCUUUUUCAAUUACAUAACCGUACACUUAUUUUGAACCAAAAUAAAUAAUCAAACCAUUCACUUAUUGUAAACCGGAGGGAGUACAAUGAAUUUAUGAAGUGAAUUCCAAGUAUAUCUUCUUUUUAAAAUUUUUUACUAUAAGUUGAUUGUUUCUUUUAGUCUUUGUAAGUGUAUUUAAUGUUGGAUAAAAUUAUUAUUUUCUUUUGUUUAUUGCUUGUUUUUCAUUAACUAAAGAAUUUCAUAUUUUCUUACGUGGUGAUAUUAGGAAUGCAUCAACUUUUUUCUUAAUAAAAUUUUAAUUUUUUCAAUAUUUGGUGAAAUAAUUAUAGGACUAAAUAUGAUCAUUUCACUUCUUCUUUUUUUAAAUUCCCCAAAAUCCACCGUAGAAACGAGUAACAUCUCAAGUUUACAAUUUCUUUUUUGUGAGAGAGAUAUUCUUAUUAAUCACCAAACCAAUAUCAAAUGUACAUAUUGUUCUCCUUCCAAACAGGAAUAACCGAUUUACAAAUCUCAUUAACCACAGAAUUUAGUGAGCGGCGCCAAAUCUUUCUAUGGAUUGCUUCUUUCGCCUCUUUCGCCGUCAAAGUGCCUAUGGUACCAGUUCAUAUUUGGUUACCCGAAGCUCAUGUAGAGGCACCUACGGCAGGAUCCGUCAUCUUGGCAGGAAUUGCUUUAAAAUUGGGAACCUACGGGUUUUUAAGAUUUUCAAUACCCAUGUUUCCCGAAGCGACACUUUGUUCCACUCCUUUCAUUUAUACUUUAAGCGCGAUUGCUAUAAUAUAUACUUCCUCGACCACUUUAAGGCAGAUCGAUCUUAAGAAGAUCAUUGCUUACUCCUCAGUAG
rnacentral:lncRNA from 1 species